rnacentral:lncRNA from 1 species
UCUCACCGAACUGAUCGUCCCUAAAGCAAGUGAUAAAAAGCUUGAUGAUUGGUAUCUAAGACCCAAGUUCGAAUCCUAAUUGAUUCACAUUUCCAGCUAAGUUUAUUUCUAAAUGAAAUAAACGAAGCGGAUAGUAUGCUACUUAUCUUUCACAAAAAAAAAAAAAAAAAAAAAAAAAAAACACUUCCUGCCGAAGCAGUUUGGUGUGUUCAUUGGGAGGUUAACUUGGAGGUCGGAAGUUUACGUUAGGCCUACUGGCCAAGUCUCGGGAAAAAAAGAAAAAAAAAGAUAGUGGAUAUGCAUAUAUUCUUCUGUAUUACUGAAUUAAAUGAACAUUCAAUAAAAAUGAUAUAUUCAUGUUGAAAGCUAUUUAUAUCUGUUUCAAUAAGACUAUUGAGAGAAACAAAAUAUAAAUAUCUUAAUUGCCAAUUAGGACAUAAUAAUGAUAUAAGAAUACAAUACAUUUGUACUCAUUUCACAACUUAACAAUACAGGUUAUCAUUUAUCAAAGCACAAAUGGCUCUGUAAAUGUUACAACAUUUUAAGAAAUCAGAGAAAAUUUGUUUGCACAAGACAAUUUAUAGGUGUAAUAAAUAAUUUCCUUUUGUUAAUCACCAUUUGUAGUUGGCGGUAAAUGAUGUACGACCAGUAGCUUGCCGCUUCUAAUCAAUUGUAUGGUGUGAUAGAAAGGAAUUCAGGUUACUAACAGGGAGCGGUUUUGAUUGUGGGAUCAUCACCUCCUCAGAAGCUUCAAGACGUCGCCCACGAGAUGCAAGGAUCCCGUCACCAGAACCUGCAUUUGAUGCAGAACUUUCAAUAGGUACAUUUUUGUAUUAGAAAAAGUUUGAAAAGAGAAGUAUGUUGAUAGGUCAAAGGGCAUAUACACAAUUCAAGGGCAUUGGAAAUUCAAUAUCUCCUUCGGGUGCGUACAAGUAAAUCUCUUCUUCGUUACCAUGUGCAGAAUAAACAAUAUUCUGUUUUAAGAUUACCUGAAAUCGAAUAGAAGGGUUUUCUCUUGCACACUCUCUCAACCAAUUUAUUGCCAUCGGAAGCGACGGGAUAACAGCACUGCAGAUAUAGUGAUUACCGGCAAGGUCACACUUGUCUAAGGGAUCUACUUCGAUAAAACCAUUUGAAGAUGAAUUGUGUGUAUUAUGGAGCUUCAGGCCAUUGACAGUAGUUACAUCUAAUAGCACAUAGAAAAGAGUGCAAAUGAUCAUAUAACUUAACACAUUCUCUAUGGAAACCAAAUAAGCCCAAUUUUGAACUAUUCAAACCAAUGUUAGAUUUCACCUUUUCGAUGGAUUAACUUCUCCCAAGUUCUUUGGAGAGUUGAUUGCCAUGAUACUUCCCCUGAAGGAUUUGAUGGAACUGGUGAUGUAGCAGAAUCCACCCUAUGAUAUGUAGAGAUGCUAGGGACAAAAAGAGCUUUUGAGAACUGGACACCUGAGUCACAGAAUAGCAAUAGUCAAUUCAGAAAUGUCUUAAACUACAAAUACUUAUCAAAUUACCAAAAGAAAAGGCAAACCAUAGAUUGAAACAAACAUGAUUGAACAUUGCACUGUUGGCUAUUAAUUGAAAGACAGAUACACACAGAUUACUGCUAUGAUUCAGUCACAUAGAUAGGUUGUUUUUCUAUGAAGCAUAGAUGGUAUUUUUUUAAUAUGUCGCUGAAUAGAGGUCAAUUUUCUGCUGCCGUUAUUUACAAACGAAAUUAGGCUGUACUAAAAUGUUUAGAACAUCAGAUCAGAUACAGCUAACAUGUAUUUGUCCAUAAAUAUCUGUGCUACGUAAGCAUUACAUCAAUAAUGCUAAAGGAGAAAAUUUGCGACAGGAUAUUCUAGAAGUCAUACUAGCCAUGCUAAAUUUUCACUAGCAAUGAUUCAAAUCUAAUCAUCAGCAAAAAGGACUAGAAUAUUUGCAGAUAAUUGAACGGGAUGAACAUACUAUGUAUAUUUGAAGGUGAUCAAUGCUUAAUAUUAGAUAAUGGAAACAGUAGUAAAAAUAGUCAGCUGAUCAAAAGAAGUUUCAAAUAGACAAAUAUCAGAAAGUAGAUCAUAGUAUAUCUUAAAUUAAUUAGUUUAUGAAACUAUGAAAUAAUGCAAUUGGUAGGACUUGAUUGUUGAGAGAGUAGAUACCGCUUGAGGUACAAGUUUUCAUAAGCUGAGGAAGCAGAAGCUGAGGAUCUCUCUUCUCCAUGCAAUUAAACAAAAGGAUCUACAAAAAGAGAAUAUUUGAACUAUUAGAAAGAGUUACUUUUCACCCCUUCAAUUUGAAAAGUUUUAAAGAUGUAAGAAAUGCACAAGACAGUAGGAACAGCGUAAUACAAACAGAAGGACAAUUUAGUCACACCGAUAAGUUAUGCAAGAGAACUGUAUAACUUCAAACUAUAUUUACCUUCUUUGAUAUUCUUUCAGGCUGAUUACAGUGCUUCAUGGAGCACUGAGAAUCAGAGUUCCCAUGAGGUUCGUUGAUGAAAUCGUUCUUUGUAGGGUGUUGGUUGUCCCACAAAGCAUUGGAAAACCACUUAGCACAAGCUUCGAGACUCUCUGGAGUAUGAGCACUAUCUAAGUAAAAGAUCAAAUUACCACAGUAACCAUUUAGCUCCGAAUUCUCGUCAAAUUUUUCUGGCUUGUCAUUAACAAUUUGAGCACGUCCAAAAAGAUUAGCGGUGGAAAGGCCUCUAAGAAAUUCUUCUGGUAAGCUUCCUUCUAAGUCAUCCUAAUAGAACUUCAUCAUAUAACAAAUUAGACAUAAUUAUUGUUCAAAGUUAAAUAAGAGAAGUCCUAAAACAUCAACAAAGUAUUUGUACGUACUACGUAUACACAUGUAGACACUUGCAAAAAAAUAGCAGACAAAGAUAAAGCAAAUGGUUUAAUCAACAUUAUGAGUAACCUAACCUUCAAAAGAACUUUAGUAUACCCAGUUCUCUGAAGCCAACAUUUGCAAAGAGCAACAGCAAGGCCUGCAUUGAUGUAUUGGUGUUCUCCAGCUAAUCCAAGCUUUAAUCCCUUCAAUUUUUCUGAAUCUAGAGGUGGUGCAACUUCCAGUGGAAUCUGCAUUUGGAAACAGCAGGCAAAUCAUCACAACCAUAAGUUUACCAAAAGAGGGAAAAAAAACAACCCAAUUACUAGGCACUAACUGAAGUACAAAGGCAUAAAAAUGACAAAUUACCGACAAUUUGGAUGACUCUUCAGUAAGAACAGACAUGGCUUGCUCAAGUUGGGGCACUGUGAAUGCAGGGACAGAAUGCUUCAUGUUCAGGGAAGACAUCAACGGUUUUGUUAAACUCUUGAAAACAAAACUGCAGUGUUGUAUAAUCAAAACAGAAAUAUUGGAAUAAACAUUCCAUGGUUAAAUACUAGCUUUCUCUCUGUGCCAGCCAGUAUUCUGACAAAUACCUUACCUUAAAAAUCCCAGCCUUUUCUGCUGCAAUCUUUUCAAUGGUGUCUCCUGCAUGUAAAUUAACUCUUCAGUCAUCGAUGCACAGGAAAUUAUCUAGAGUAGCAUACAAAACCACUUGCUCAAAAUAGAGGAAUAAAAAAAGACACUAUAAAACCGACCGUCCCUAGCGCAAACGGCAAAGGACUUGGUGGUUGGUACCCGAGUUCGAAUCCUAGUUGAUUCAUAUUUCCAGUUAAGUUUAUUUCUAAAUGAAAUAGACGAAGCAAGUAGCAUGCUACCUAUCUCUCUAAAAAAAAAAAAGACACUAUAAAUAAGAGAGAUUGAACAUUAAGGGAAUAACGUGUAGCUCUUUUAUUGAUUAGCAUAGGUUGCUAUAGGCCUGAGUUAGCCAGUAGCACACAGGAUCUGAAGUUCGGAACUACUUUGAUUUUGUUUCCUAUACUAGCAUCAGAGCAAGAAACAAAAACAUAAGAAACAGAUAAGGACCAACAAGGACAUCCAUGUAAGUGAAGCAGGAGAAAAGAAAGUACCUAAUAUCUCCAUAUGAUCCAUCCCAAGUGAAGUUAUGCCACAUACAACAGGCUGCUUAAUCUAAAAAAGUUCACCAAAGUGUAUCAGUUAACAAGCUGAAUUGUAAACAAUCAGUAGAAAUCAACUAACAAAUAUAUGGAGAGUUUAGAUACAUUUCUUAACCAUAUUGGUAUUCAGUUAUAAGAGAAUUGUACAAGAGAUAGAAAUUAAACUAAUCAACAUAAAAAACUUAUCAACAGAAAAAACCAAAAAAAACAAAAAGAGCACCUAUUCUAUUUCUUGCUUAACUGGUCCAAACUACAGUUAUUGAAAUAUAGCAUCUCUACUUAUUAGGAAUAUAAAUGAAAAGGAUUUGUUAAGAAAAGUGACUAUACAGCUACAAAUAGGGGAAAAAAGGAAGUAAAUAUGUACCACAUUUGUCGAGUCCCAUCUACCGCCAAUACCAACUUCAACAAUGGCAACAUCAACCUAGAUACAACAACUUUUCACAUUCAUGACUAGAUAUACGUGAUAAACACAUCAAAUCGGAUUGUUAUAUCUGCAAAUGUUACUUUUGAUGUUUACAAUUUACAUCUUCAAGCAUGAUUCUGGAACAUUGGGCAACUAUUAGCAAAAAACUGAUAAUCAUAUAAGAACAAGAAAAGCCAUGAAAAGGGUACACAGAGCAUGACAGAGAGAUUAAUAUAUGCUAUUAUUUUCACACCGAAGAACAGGAAAAGCACAUUUUGAGAUGAUAUUUGGUUACAAAAGGAAGUGAAUUGUUUUCAGAAUACAAAAAAAUAUAUAUGGAUCAUUAAGAAAGGGGGUCAUAGAUAUAAAUUGCUAAAAAUGUGCAACAGCCAUCUGUUUUUUUUCCUUCUCUCAUCAAACAGAAUUUCUAUUAAGAUUUCUACUCAGAAGCAUUAAAUAGCUAAAUAUAUCAUCAUGGUAAUGAUAGGGAGUCCCAGAAGUCUUCACAAGGAAGUUAAAGCAACAAGCAUUCAAUCUUUUUUGGAAAUAAAGAAACUCAUCUAUGAAAUUAUAGAAGAUUCAGCAUAACUAUCGUAAAGAUCGCUUUAUGCCGAAAGAACACUACAUCAAUAGUCACUAUAUAAAACUUCUGCGACAGAGCGUAGAUGUGAUUCUACUAGAUGCCACUUUUGAUGCAUAGUAAAGCCACAGAAUUAUGGUUAAAACCUUUUCGCACAAGAAUAUCUUAAAUGCCAACAGUGUGAGGAAUUGAAAAAGAGGAGGCAUUAGCAAACCAUCUACAUUUUUCUCCUGCAAAAGAAAAAAAAAAAUAUUAGUGUACAUGCGUUUUUAACUGAAUGUACUUCAAAGUUGCAACUUGCAAGGUCUUAAAGAGUCAAACUAAGGAGAGUUAGUUCUCCAGAUCUAGCAGACAGAAUUUUCUUAGCAAAUCAGCACAGUGGUUAUAGAAAGAGAAGUGACACCUUCAAUUGGUGCCAAAGGCCCCAGAAAUAAUAUAAAAAUUUCUCUCUGGAUAUAUCUGACCUGCACAAAUAAUGCUGGAUGAGAUAGAUACAAUUCCAUAUUUCAGUUGCUAAAAAAAAAGUGUGCAUGGAUUAGCCAAGUGUGAAGUGAAGCUUUAAUUAGAGCUAAGAGAACAACUAUGUGCGAUCUAAAGCUUGGACAUCAAAAUAUGUAGACUAGAUGGUCAUAAGAUCUGAAUUAGCAGCACGACCAUUUCUAUACUAAAUGUAAGUUACAGGUCUCAAUAGGGACAUAGCUAUGUAUUGAUAUCUUGUAAUAACUUACCCAUUAAUGCGAAAUCUUUCUGUAAUGUCAAUCAAGUGAGGAGAUGUGAAUAAUCCAGUUUGCAAACCACAUUCCCUUAAAAUGGCUUCUGAAAAUGUACAAGUUGAACCCUGAAAUACAACUAGAUUAGCUGGAUAUAAGCAUUGAAAUUCCUAUCACAUCAAAAAUAUCUUAUACCAAGUUCUGUAUUUCAAAAGUAGCUUUUCUGGGAGACAAAUAAUUUAUAUUAUUUAGAACUAUAAUACUUUUUUCAAAAGAGUGGCAGAGACCCACAUAUGUGUCUGCACAUGAAAAUGCAGUUGUUUCAUCCACUUGUAUAGACCAAAUAUGUGUUUGUUUGGGAAGCACGUAAUGAGCACAUGAGCAAGCCACAAACAUCAUGCAUUCAAAAUUUCAACUAUAUAUAAGUACAUGUAGCAUGAAAUGACUGUAUGAACUAGUCAUACACUUAGAUCUACUUUUUUCGUUUUUUGACUGUAGAACACAGGAUGAUUCCCUGUGCUGUAGAACACAGGGUGAUCUAAUAAAUUUGAUAUAUAAAUUUUCAAGUUGAUGGAUUAGAUGCAAACAAAAGAAAGAAUGUAAAUAUGUUGAUUCUCUAAGAAAUAGAGUUGUCACCUUUCCUUUAGUUCCGGCAACAUGCAUAAUCUUAAGUUCAGAAAUGGAUUUAUCCAAACCAGCUACCUGCAUAUAUGAAAGAAUUAAGAGGGUCAGCAAAAAAGAAAGAAAAGCAAAACUUAGAAAUAAAAAUUAGUCCAUGAAGUUUGACCAGGUUCUAAUUUUGUUGUCAGAAUUCAUAUUGUAAUAGUUUAGUUCCUGCAGUUUGACCUUGAAUGAUUUUCAUCCUUUUAAGUGUCAAUUCAAUACAAGAAAAUUAACCAUGUUAUUGAUAGAAGUUCAUAAGAAGUAUCAGUGUCCACAAAACCAUCUAUGUUACUGAAACUCCACUAACCUUUAAGCAUCACGUAACAAUUACUGCUGACAUAAGCAAAAGAGGGCAACAGGUUCGUAAUUGUCAGACUAAAUCUAACAGAUGCAUAUUUUCGAUAUGGGUAUUACAGAUACAAAAUAUGAUACAUUCUCAUGAAAAAUUGCAUAUCAGACCUUAAUAAAACAGACGUGCUUUAAUUGCAUUCAGUGAAUGUUCACAUUCUAUGCAAGGAUAACUUAGAGACUACAAGAAAAUAUGUAGAUAGAAUAGCAAGCGAGAACAUGAACUUGAUCAAUUCAUGAAAUUUUAGUUUAUACAAGUUUGGGCUAUCAUCACCUGCAGAUAUUUAAACAUUAAACCAAACUUGCCAGCUUUCUUUGGUUCGGUUCCACGCUUCUGACGACUAAUAAGAGAAGAAAGGGCUUCCAUUGCAGCUUCAUAUGAAGAAGAAAGAUCCACUUCUUGUAGACGUCCUUUGUCCUCCAUUUCUAGAAGCAAAUCAUCCACAAUGACAUUCCAAUGAGUGCCAUAUUGGACAUAAACAUGAUACAAUGACAUAAGCAAGAAGUUGAGAAGAACAUUGAGCAGCGAUAAGACAAUUAUUAUUCAUGUAGACAUCUAGCUAAAGCAAUGUUGAAUAUAUAAAUAUUAGAAAAACUAUUCUCUAGCGGCCGAAGCUUUUGGCAUCUUAAAAAUUUCCUCCUAUUUAAUUAUCCCCAUCUUGGGCCUAUAAAAAUAUCUAGAGACGUUGGAUAAUUAAAUGGGCUGAAAUAAUUGUUUCUCUCCAGAAGCUUAAGCUGUCAAAAAUGGUAUUUUUAGUAUUUAUAUAUUCAACAAGCAUACAAAACCACAAAACAAAUAAAAAUCAGUAUUCAUAAAGUUCUCGUAAUAUAAUCUACCUAUUGUUUGCGGUUUAAGCUUACGCAUACGAGAAGAAAUGCUCCAAAACUUCAUGCAAACAAUGAACUUUUGUAGAUGAAGAAGAAAAGAAAACUUUGGUCAAAAGGCUUGUCUUCAUCUUUGAGGCGCAAAUAAGAAUAUGAACUUAAAAAUUUUGUUGAGUAAGAAAAUGAAAAACAGAGAAUAAUAUAAGCCACGUGAUAGACAACGCAAAAGAGGGUUUUGUGUGUGUGUGUUCCCGUGAUACUUAACAUUUUACCAUGGCAGCAUCCAUAUCUAAUGUUAAAUUUAUGAAAAUACUGAUUCACUCACUCAAUCAAGCAAACAUCUCUUUCUACGACAAGAAAAAGAGAAUGAUUAUAACAACAAUAUUCCUUGGCAAGGUAAUAUGAACCAAUCCACUGUAGACUUAAAUAUCAUCCAUUUAGCAGUAAAAUACAAAGAUACUCGUAUACUCUUCUGUGGAACUCGACGACAUUUAAACACAAAUUAAUCAUCUAAAGAGUAUUUCCAUAGAAACAGAGAUUAAGCCACUAUUCUUCCUAAUAUUUAAAUUUUUUUGGCUAAAAAUCAUAUUGCAUUCCGCUUUUAAAUGCGACCUGCUUAUUUUUCAAUCAAAAGCUACAAAAAAAUUUCUUUCGAUCCAACCCCAACCAGUAAAGAAAAGAUGAAUCCUGAUCUAAUAAUUCCUUCAUUGCUCGCAUUCACACCUCCUGCAAAUCUAAUCGCAACCAACGCCACAACAUAAAUUCUGAAGUCAACUAAAUCGAAUCAAACAAGAGCAAAUUCAACAAAUUAGAACACUAAAUAAAUGAGACUAACCGUGGAAAACGAAUCGAGAGAACUGAUUACGCGAUCGGAUUCGCCGAUUCCUACAGUUUCCCGAAAUAAAGGGGAAAAAUAAUGGGUGUAAUCUUUGAAAAGGGGUUAAAAAAGGAGUUUUUUUUUCCCCUUUUUAGGGGAUUUUUUAGGUGGGGCGGCGUUUUAAAAAAGGAGGGAGAUAUGUCGCCGCACACACUACUAAGCUUCUGAUUGCUUGGGCCAAAAAUUACUUAAACAAUAUUUUUUAUAUAUUUAUUCAGCACUAAAAUAAUUUGAGAAAAAUAGAAUGAUUUUAAUUUUUGGUCCUUUUCGGUAGAGGACGAAAAAAUCUCAAGCGAAUUAAAUUUUUUUUAUUCAUUUUUUUACUGUCGAAUUAAAUAAAUGUGAAUUUUUUUCAACUAAUUGAUGAAAAUAUUAUUUUUUUACAAAUCAAAUACUAUAAAACAUAUAUAUUAAAAAAUAUAUAUAUAAAUUAUUUUUUACCGUUUUACGUACAACGAGACACGCUCUAGAUAUAAUUCAUUUCCUUUGGAUUUUUAGCUGAUAACUAAUUUUUAUGUAAAAAUUUAAAAAUAGUUUUUAGUUGAACUAAAAUUUAUUAUUAUUUGUUUGAGAAAAAAUUAAGAAUUUUGGAACUGAAGUUGUUCACUUUCUAUUUUUAUUUUAGUAGAAAAUUUUAUCCUAGCAAGUAGCAAAUAAGAGAUAAAAAAAAUUACAGCAUUUAAUUUUUUAAUUAUUUUAUGGUGAUUGAUUUCGCGGCUGGUCAUAACGGAAUUAAUUAUGGCAUUACGAAAACAAUAUUAUGCAUGCAAAUUGGAGAAUAAAAAUAAAUUUUUAUGAUCGAAAAUUACAUCACUUUUUUAUAUUUCUUGUGAGACAAACAAGUUAAAACCGAACCGCACCAACCUAACCUAUUCAUUUUGGUUGUGUUUAAAUCAAAUUUGGGUAUCUAAAAUUGGAAAAAACUGGUAUUUUUUUACAAAAAAUUACAAUAGUAAAUCAACUUUAGUAAAUUUAAUUACAUAAUACAUUACUUAAUUUAUAUUUGUAUUUCAAAAAAAGAAACUGAUAUGAUAAACUGGUCUACCAAAUCAUGAUAAACUAAAAUAAAAUUGUACAAAAAAUUAUAUAUUGAUAUAAUAACCACAGUUAAAUUUUUAAUCCUUGUCAAUUUGGGAUUAAUAUUUAUUUUUUGCUAAACAGGUUCAGUCGAUUCAGUAUAGUUUUACUAACAUAUCAUAAGACUUCAAUAUUUUCAUAUUUUGGUUCGUCGUUCGAGGGAUCAACCAAAUCAACCAACUGCACUAAAUAAUGGUGGUCUCUGCCGAUUUUAUACUGCAGUAACAAAAGGAGUGACUUUUGUUUUGUUGGAAAAUAACUAUUUUAAUUGGUGGUGGGAGUAAUAAUAAUUUUAAUUGGUCGGAGAACGGCACCCAGGGAGGAAUAUUCGGAGGAUAUUAGAUUCGAUGGCGACGAAUCACGUUGAGGUCUUCGGUAGUUACGUCAAUAUAUUUUUAAUAUCAUUACCAGUACACUUUAAAAUAAAAUAUAUAUCUUAUACUUAUUUUAUUCAAAAAAUUAUUAAUUUUUAAUUUGUCAUAUUAAUUUUUUAAAAUUUUUAUUAAAAAUCACUAGGAAUGAGAGGAUUACAAUUUUUUUUUAAAAUUCUCCACUUACCACAUCAUACUGUUCAAAUCAUUGUAUUAAAGAAUGAUUUUGAGUCGUGGCUUUAUGGAUGGUGCUUUUAUAAAAAUCUUAGCAAAAUUAUGAACGUUCAUAAAUUAUCUAAAAGUAUGAAUUUUCAUAUAUGCGCCGCCCUAGCUAGAGAGUGGAGUUUCUACAAAAGUACCUUCAUUACAAGUUGUUAGUUUGAAUUUUAUUAUGUGCAUUGAUUUAGACUUUUAUUUGAAAUAUCAAAUAAAUAUGGUACAUGCUAUGAGAAAGUGCAAAAGAAUAUUAUUAAAAUUUCUUUAUUAUGCAUGUAGGCCAAAAAAUCUAGUCAAAGAGUUUUCCUGGUUUGAACGGCUGAGUGUCGAUAAGUUGUAGUGACUUUGAUUGACAAAAAAUAAAAUUAAAAAUCAAAAUUAAAAAAAGCUCUAAAAGUAGACAAAUUGGUAAUUCACACAAAGGAAUGAGAAACUAAAUAUUAAACACUUUGCUACGUCAUUAACACAACAUGCACAUGCCUUUUUUAUCAUUUUUUGUUUGUUCAUUUAUGUCAUGUUGGUGGAACCAUCUGGUGUUACAUCUGUAGUUAAAAAUGUGACAAGAAAGCGAGUUCAAGCAACAAGAAGCUGUAAAUACUUGAGAGUAGGUUCUCACUGCAAGAAAUGAUAUUAACAACUCCAUUUAUCCUUGUAUCACAUUUGGUAAUAACAUUCAAGAGUAUCUGGAUAUUCUUUUGUUAUUUUUUAUUCCAUUUCAAGAACCUUACAGCAGGAUUUAUUCUAUCUACAAGAUGAUUUAUCAUACUCCCCUUCAACCAAUUAACACAAGCUGUUGAGUAGAAAAACAGAUGUUGCAUGAGAUAUUCAGUCUUUCUUAGGGUCUGCCAGUAAGUUCAAUAACUUGUUUAAAAUACAAGUAAUUGAUAACUUUAUUAAGCAAUAAGUAAGAUAAAUAACAUCCAACAAAAAAGAACAAGAAGGGGGAAAAAUCAGUAAUGCAGCUAAAAGCCUUUAUCAGGAAAGCAACUGCUCUACCCCAUCAUCUAUCUUACCUGCCUGAAGCUAAUAUGACUGCUAAUAAAAGCAUCAAUAUUACCAUCUAAAACUGAAUUUAAAUCUAGCAAUUGGAUUCCCGUCUUGAGAUCACGAACUGACUUCUGCGGACGAAACAUGUAUUCCCGCGUUUCGUGGUCCCACUCGCUCGCCACAGCACCCCUUUUGAUUCUCCUUACAUCCGAUACGCCGUGUUCGGAUGCUACAACAAGGAGUUUCGCUUUCAAUCGGUUCAUAGCCUUGAUCUUAUUAGCAAAAUGACUUCUUUCACCUGCACCCAAUAAUAAAAAAAGGUUUAAUUAUUAAGGCAGACUGCAGUAGGUCAUCUCACAAAGUGUGCUAUUUCAUUGAGGGGUGCUCUUUUUUGGGUAGGUAAGCUGGAAAUGUUUGUGCACGCUAGCUAAUAUUUUUAAGAAAUUAAAGCAUAACAGAAAUAUUGUCAAGUAAUUUCACAUAGAAAAUAUGGUUCUGGGACUUUGAACCACUAUAGGUCAUGCACAUAGUAUUUGAAUAAGAUAAUGUAUAAGAUGUUUGCCACAUAUAGUUGUUACCUGAACUUUGAACAGUUAUGCUACUUGGGAUAUGACAAACAGUAACCGCAGGUUUACUACUGCAACCGGGCUGCUUAUCUUCACAACUCCAGGAAGAGAUUUCUAUAUCAUUCUCAUCUAUAUGCAGAUCAACAGGUCCAUCAAGGAAGAGAGGGAUCACAUCAACUCGGGCUGAGCAUGCCUGCAAACCUCGGUCUUAUCAACUCUCUGCUGCAACUCAGAAAAGAAAUAUUCUAAUACUAGUUUAUGAAUCAUCUAAUAUCAUGAGGUUCGGGUAGCGUUACCAAAAGGAAGUGGAUGCAGAAUUUGGUACUCAAUAAACAAGAUGUAUGAUAACAUUCAAUGAAAACGAAAGCAGAAAAAAGUCAGAAAACACACUAGGUGUCUUGAACCCUAUAGAAAGCCUCUUUAAGCUAAUAAGGUAACUGAGUGUCUAAGGGGUUGUGCUGUAGAAGAACUUUAGAGUUUAGAUUUUAGAGUUUAGAAGCUCUGGUCAUUCUUGCAUAUUUUCACACUAGUACUCACCAAAUAAGUUUCUUAACUGCACCCUUUAAGGUUUGAAGUGCAAGUCAUUUAUGUACUACCACUACCAUAUAUGAUGUUGAUAACAUCAAGAAUAAAAUGGUUUGAAAGUGAGUUCUCGCUAAAACUCCUGUUGUGAAUUAAGAAUAGGUAGGCUGGUUUUUCACAACUUGCAAGAGAAACUGCUCAUGAUCCACAAUGUAAGAAAGCAAUUAAGCAAAGCAUAAAAUUUGCAAGAAAGAUCGAAGAUAAUCACCUCAUCCACUCCAGAACCAUCGAGAGAAUUGCAGACCAUUCGAUGUGUACCCCUCUCUCCGAGAAGGUAGCCAUACAUAUAUUCUGAUUCAAACUCUAUUGUUGCCAACCUGACACCACCACCUUUAAAUGGAUACUUCUCAACAACCCUUCCCAUGAAACCAUGCUUUUCAGCCCAUCUUGCAUACAUGCACAAGAUCUUCUCUGCCCAUACCUAUAAUCAAAUGAUGGCUCAAAUAUAGACACUGAAAGAAACUUAUUAUAUCUACAGCAUAGAAAGCAAACAUAAUUCAAGUAGGAAGUAUGAUCCACAUACCUCAGAAGCAAUGGCUUCUGAACCAGCUUGGAUGGUUACACAGGCUCCUUCCUUGUCAUAUGGACCAUUCAAAAGCUUGGACAUCUCAUAACGAUCAAGGAAUUUGCUAACAUCUAAAGAGGCUUUGUAGGCCUGCUUAAAAAGCUGAUGAUUUAUGAUAUCCAUGUCCGCUAGCUGCGUGAUCAAUUUUGCUUCUUCAGCCUGCACAUGUGACAUUUAGUUGACUACAGAUGAUAAUAAUAACCUUUAGCAAGAAAAAUAAAGAAAUAAGCAAAUCUCUAGGAAUAUAACAUUCUGGCAUAAAGAGACAGACACAUUUAAGCAAAAGACUCUGAGUGAGCUGAACUACCUACAAAAUUUUAAGCAUUUUUUUCUUUUUUUUUUUCAUCGUAAAGCCUUUGAUUGCCCAGAUUACUUGUAACGCAUAAGAUUAUAAAGUUCAAAAGCAUCAAAAGAUUAAUCCUUUGGUAAAUCAAAAUUAUCAAUAAAAAUUAUGUGUAGGUAUUGCCAUGAGAAGUGCUUUGAGUUAUUCGCAUUCUUUUGAGGGUUACAAAAAGAAAAUCAUUCACGGAACUCACAUUAUGUUUGUCAAGCACAGCACCUUAUAUCUUAGGUCCUUGAGAUCAUCAACCACCUUGAUAGCAUCAGCUAAAGCAGCAAGAGAUUCAUUAGAUCUUGUUAGAUCAUCCCACAAAUUAUACUCAUGAAGCACUUCUUCUUGUCUGAUUCUCCUCGCUUCUUCCAACUCCAAUGCAGUUGGUGCGAUCAUCUCGGCGCGACUAACAGCAUCUUCAAUUUUCUUUUUCAAGGAGUACAAACCUAGUGAAUUUCGAAGCAGGAUAAUGCCAUCAAUAACCAGGACAAAAUAUCAAUAAAUAAUCAUGCAAAUAUCUACUACCAAUGUGAUAUGAGUUAAAACAGCGAAUCAGUAACCAGUUCUCAAAUUUGAGACACAAACUUAAACUGAUGUGAUUAGCCCUGAUUGUCAAACAAGACGCGACCUGAGAGCCCGAAUUGCCACCACCCCUUCCCCUCUUCUCACCUUUUUCUAUCAACCACUCAACCACUCUAUUGUACCUCAAUAAAUUCCAUAACAAGACUCUUCACCACCCACUAUUCAAGCCUAAUUCAUAAAUAUGUUAACUAGAACAGCUUAACUAAGGCUAUUUUUCGUUUAUACUAAUAUGCUAUCUACCAACCUCUAAUCAUCACACCAUGAUUGUACAUAAUCUGCAAUUUCCAAAUUGAUGAAUAUAAACACAUUAAUUGUCUAAACAACACACAAAAAAAAGGGGGAAAGAAAUAAUUUGUGGUACGGAACAAAGCCAACACUGCAGAGAUAGAUUCUACGUCAAAAUAGAAAGGAAAAAAAAAAAAAAAAAAAAAAAAAAAAAAAAAAAAAAAAAAAAAGCUCGUAAAUCCGAUCAUGAACACAUAUUCUCCUAAUCUAUAUAUCAUGCUCAUCACACCAGGUUGGUACAUCGAAACCCUAAAUUAGCGAAGCAUAGAAGAAACAAGGUAAGAUACGAACCCAGCUCCUUAAACACACGAUCGUUUCGGCUCUCCAUGGAUUGGGAAGCGCGGAUAAGGGUAAAGGAGGGACGAGGGGUUCUCCUUGGAAAUGCCCGGCUCGGCGCUAGGGGAGCGGCUUUGGUGGGCGUCGGCGAGCUCACGGGUCUCGUCGCCAUUAGAGAGGAGAUAGAGAUAGAGAGAGAGGUGUGGGAGGUAGCGGCGCUUCAGGAAAAGCGACGCUUUUUAGCGAUGGGGAUUGAGCUCUCGAGGGUUUUGUAUUUUUUGUGAGAGGGUUCUGCUGCUGCUGCUGCUGCUGCUGCUUCUUCUUCUUCUUCUUCUUCUUCUCUGUUUGGGAGAUUGAGGCACAUCCACGAAUGACUGGUGAGGAGUACUUGCGGAGGGAAAUUAUUUCGUGGAUUUGGACUACCGUGGCAUUCGUGGACCGGACCAGUUACAACGCAGCGUAUUAUAUCCACAUGAUAUUUUAGUUAGUUAUUUAUUUAUAUUUUUUAUUUUUUUCAGAAUAUUAGUAGACCACCGAAGACCACCAAGAUAAAUUUUUUUUGUGAAUGUUGAGCUGCAUGUGUAAAUCAAACAAAAAUUUUCAAAUUAUAUACAUCAACACAUUAACAACUUUAUCAGUACACUAUUUCACGUGCUUAAAAUUUUGUUAAUAACAAACUAGAACCCCUUCAAUAGUUUUCUCUGUAACAAAAGUGAAAAUUCGUAAAGGAGCUUCUAAUUUUUCAACUAAAAUUAAGUGCUGAAAGAUAAAAGCAAAAAUAGAGCCAAAUAUGUAGAUUGUAUUAGCAAAUAUAUCAUUAUAUUGUCAUGCAAAGCCAUCAUCCUCGAAUUGUUAACACCAGCAGAAUUAACAUCACCUAAUAACUAUCUAACAUAUGGCUAAUUUAUAAUUUGUACUAAAUUCCCAAAUAGAUAUAAUAUCCACAUCACAAAAUGAUCACAAAUGUGAAAAGCAGCUACUAUCUGUACCCUAGAGGGACUCGGCAAACUGAGGUGCUUCUAGAUCAAGCUCCUGCUUCAUGACACAGCUAAUUAGCCACUCGCUGUUGAAAAUCCAAGCACCGUUUCUGGCAGCGGCCAAAGCAUCUGCCAUAUCUUCCUCGCAUGCCACGAAGAUAGUCUUCCAUGGAUCCUGUGAGUCGGCUAGCCUACGAAUAACCUGCCGAUGUUCAUAAAUAUCGACUGAUGUUAGUUAUCAAGAACAGCUGUAGUUAACACAUCUGCAAGAUGUUGUGAUUCACAAUGAUGUUAAUUAAUCAUCUAAGUUAUGCAUGCAAAAUUUAGCACUCGAAAACUUUUCAAAGAGAAUAACGUACUGUAUCAAUACGUCGGGAUAUAACAUUUUAUGAUACUUACGUUGCCACCAGCAGACUUGAUAAUGAUUGAGAGGUCAUCAAAAGAGGGCUGGAUAUGCUUAGAAAGGCAGAUACUACAUCCCAUAAAUAGUGAACAGGGGUUUGCUUUAGCCCUAGCAACUGCAUCUCCCAGUUCACACUUGUACUUUGUCAGAUAUUCCUCAUCCUUCAAUAUGUAUUCUGAUUCCUCUGCAAGAAACGUUGAAGUACUGAAUUAACACAAUAAGGAUAUAAGCUAUUACUCUAGGAGCAAGAACCUUUCUUCCUAGCAAGCAGCGGGAAACUCAAAAACCAAAAUAAUUAGCAUGGUCUGAAUUGUAGGUACAGUGACUCACCUACAAACCUGCCUUCCUUAAAGCUUUCUUUCAGCCAAUUUGGAGAAACGAUCCAAGCUCUGCAGUUAAGCAGAUUCUUAUGAAAAUGACUAUAGUAAAAAAGAAAUGAACUAAAGUCACAAAGAGAAAUGGGAGGAGAUGAAGAUGUCUGAGGCAUUGCAAAAUGGGAGUACAGGUGUUUACAUAUAAGGUCACAAUAGGUUCAGCCUUAGCCUGUAACAACCAGCUGAGUUGCACUCAAGAGUGAUAAGACAAAUCCCACAUAUAAAGUAAUCUUUUUCUUUUUUUUUAAGGAAUACUAAUAGCGAGGAUUCAACCCAAGAACUCUCACAAGAAAGCAGGUGGUACCGACCAUUAGGUUAAGCUCUAAUUGAUGUGAAGUAACCUAGUAAUAUUGUAGAGUGCAUUUCUAAAUUCAGUGCAAUACUCGUUUCCUGGAUUCAUCAUAUAGAAUGAGGAACUACUUACCUGGGAGUUUACGGACAUUCAGAAUAUAAGUUCAGAUAUGAAAGGCAGGAUAAUACUUUUACACUAUUAAAGGAAAACAAGGAACACUAACCCAGAGCACAAAGCUACACAAAAAUUCAUUGUCCUCCUUGCUUUUCCUGUAAUAACAUGUGUGCUUGCACUUCCUUCAGAACUAACAGAGCCACCAAGUUUUUCAACUAUCUGCGAAAACAAUUGUCAAUGCAAUUAGAAAGGAAUUUUGAGCAGAUUACUUGUUACCAAUUUUGUAAAAGCAUAACUCCAACCAAAAUUUACACUUCACCUAUCAACUAUAUUGCAGAACUUAUGAGAUUAGACUAAAGUAUUACAUUUCUAGAGAGCCAAGCUUUGGAGUAGACAGCAUAUGUUACCUUUGUAAGGCUUGAUUUCUUGGCAUCAUCAGCAAUAUUCAUGAACAUGAUCUUGGGGCAACGUCCUUUUGAAAACAGGUGAUCAAUAAUGUUACCUGUUCUGUUUCCUUCAGCAUGAGCUCCCAAAUAAUCGGGAGUUGUGUGGACAGAAUGGGUGCCCUUAGCAUUUCUCCUUGAGAAACUGUCACAAACAAGAUCUGUGAUCGAAACCUGGCAACAAUCGAUAUUAUCAUGGCCACCUCUGACUCUUUUCGACUUCAGUGAAGAUGAAGAAGCUUCACAGAAAUGCCUUUUUAGGCGUUGUCUAGAUGAACACUUCCUACUGUUGGGAUCAUACCCGCUUUGUACCACCUCUAGUUCUUCUUUGCUUUCGCAGUAUUCAUUAUUCUGAAGAUCAGGAUGUGGAAAUGGAGAAGAACAAGGAGGAAUACCUAAGAAAAGGAGCAGAUCCUAAUUAAUUAGGAAAUAUUUAUUCUUCUGUAGAAUGUAAUUAUCCGUGAUAUGCAUACAUGCGAUGGAUCAUCAACAUAAAAUUUUCUGCGUGUCAAGCCUUCUAAGAUUUCUUGUUAGUUGACUUUCAGGGGAAAUAAAUAUGAUGUGGUUGAACUUAAUUUUCUGAUAUUAUUGCUAGAAAUCUCAGCAUCCAUAUAACAGCAAACUAAAGUAAUCUACUACUACUACAAAAAAAAGAGAAAUUAGAGAUUAGGAAAAUAAAGAUAAAAAAUUUUAUCAUUCAUAGGAAAUAAAAGUUAGAAAAAAAAAAGUUGCAUAUUACAAGAAUGAGCAAUAUAUCAUAAAUAGAGCAAAAUAUGGAAAUUAAGUUAUCACACUUCCUUUCUUUCUUGUUUUGUUGCUUGCUUCUCUAGCACAGUUUCUAAAACAUUUAGUAGAUAUAGUCAUUAGUUAUAUGCAGGGCCACUAAGAAAUAGAAAACAAUGGGUAGAAAUAGCAUGAUGAAAAAUUAGAUGACAACAGGCAAGCAGUUUCCUGUGUAUGCAGAGAAAACCCACUUCUCACCAAUGUAGAUUCUUUUCUCUAUAUAUGCUGAAUCUAGCAGAGACUAGUUUUAUGAUUUACAUUUUGAAGUAUCAUUAAUCAUAGGUUUCAAUUAUCCAGGAACUCUAGAAAGAUUACAACCUGAUGAAUUCGCGUGAGGCUUUGAACAAGGCAGCUGAACUGUUUGCGAGGGGUUGAGUGAAUUCAAGAGUUCCUUCUUAAGAUGAGCAACCAUUAGUGUGGAAUCACCAGGAAAGCAUAGUGCCCUUCUAAUUUCAGCUUUUAUGGGUAGCCUGCGAACUUUGCCCUUACUGUCCACCGCUCCAAUUGGUACAAAACCCUAAAUUUUAUCCAUGUUACAAAAAACAAAAUAACUUACACGAGCUUCUUUUUAUUUACAAGUAAAGUUUAAGAAAUCAAGCAUUUAAAAGAUGAUCUUAAUAGGUAAACAUUAAUAACUGACUAGAACUAUAGUUAAGAUUCAGCUUGAUUACUUGUUUAAGCCAAAAUCCUUCAGAAACCUUAUCUGCCCAGCAGAAUAUUGUUGAAACGCCCACACUUUGAAGUCUACCACUUAGUUCCUUGAACAAUAACUGACCAAUACCCUGAAAAGUAAAAGGCAAGCAACUUGGUCCAAUGUAUGCAAGGAUAGCAAAUAAACAAGCAGACCAGAUUCCUUUGCACGAUUAAUGAAAAUAAAAGCAGAUAUCCUCAUCCAAGUCAUGAUUAAUAUUAUCCUGAAUGGAGUUAUGAUAAAGUUUAAUAUUGUUUCAGUAUAUGUGCUUACUGCUAAGUAGAGGAGCGUAAUAGAGUGAUCAACAUCAAUAAUUGAUUACCUCAAAGGCAGUAGAAAUUGUAAAAGGAAGAAUAUUAAGCUGAGAGAGUACAAGUUGGUCUAAAAUCUAGAGAAGCAUGUCUUAUUCCAGGCAGAGCAUAUUAUAUAAUAGAGGACAAAGAGACAAAAUUGCACAUUAAAAAGUCAUCUUUGUUCGAUGGUAAUAGCUACCCUGACUAAUGGUGCAUACCUUCUUUUGGUACUUUGAACUGACAGCUGCAAGAGGUAUUUCAGCAUGCUGUGCAUCAGCAGGAAUUAUUUGAUAUGAUACAGCAGCUAUGACCUGUAAUGCACAAAAUAUAGUUUGAGCACUAAUUACACAUAAAUUGAUGAGACAGAUCAUCCAAAGUGAUUGAUUACAGGUAAACUUACCUCUCCAAAUCCUUUAGUGGAAUUAGAUCUCAAAAUCAAAGUCGUGUAUUUUCUGGGAAAAGAGAAUUUUGAGAUUUAGAAAGCUAGCACUUCCUAUAAUCUUAACAACUGCAACCAACUACUUAAAAUGGCAAAGCAUAGUUUUGGUCAAAUAAGAUUGUGAAAAGCUGUCCUGUAUCCGCUUUUACCCAUUUGUUAUGGAUCUUUCAAGAAAUCGUGAGUUUUUUCCGGUAUUCGCUGCAUAAUUCAUUGUAGGUAGUUCUUGCAUGUAGAGCUUCAAUACUUCCUGGAAACAUAAAAGUAGGGAGAAAGAGUGUCAAGCAACCUUCUCAAGCAUAGUUCAACAAUAGGUAAAGUGCACACAGGUGCGUGCACAUGCAUACGCAUGCGACGCACGCUAUGGUGAGUCAAUCAAUUGAGAAGUCAACACACAGGCAGCUAUAUAAACAUAAGGGCAAUCACCUGCAGAAGGGAUUUAAUUUGGUUAUCCACAUCUUUUGGAUUGAUGAUGAAGAACGAAUAGUUAACCAUUGCUGAACACUCUUCACCUUCAAUUAACAUAAUGCAACAAAUCAGAAGGGCAAAAAUUGAGUGCUAUAGAGAGAAAAAACAAGCAUUUUAGCACAAAAGCACCAGAUAAAGGACUAAGAGAGUAAACAAUACCUAGGGAUUUGAGAUUUCUUUUUGAAUUCCUUGUAUUGUACCUGCCAGAUUCCUCAACUAACCAAAGCAACAAACCAUGAACAACCACCACAAACUGAAAACAAGGUUAAAUCACAAAAUGGGAUCGAAGUUCACCUGAAACCCUAAUUUUUGCGUCAUUGGACACGGAAACGGUGAGACUUUUCUCAUUCGACUGACAGAUGACACAAUCUCCAAGGAUCUCGACCUUGCAAUUUCCUGCGAUAGGGAAUAGGGUUUCAUCCGAGAUCGAUAUCGCAAUCGCCAUGUUCGAAGAACAACUAGGGUUUUGCGAAGGGGCCUACCGAUGGAGACGGUGGAGUUGGGGGAGGCAUCGAUUUUCGCCAUGAGGACCCUCUUCGUGUUCUCGCUCUCGCCCUCUAAGCGAGGAAGUGGGAUUUAAAAAGGCUUCGAAAUGGAGCGUAAAAUUUUUGUAGGGCGGGAAAAAAGAAUUUGGGAUUUCGUGCAAAUCGGGAAGUACAAUAUUUGCACCUCAGUAGACCCAGGUUGGGCCAAAUAUGGGCCAAACCCCAACAUUUAUACUAAUAAUAAUUAUGAAAAACUUCGAAUUACCCCUCUUGUGGUUUUAUUUUUUUUCACUUUAGUACCAUACGGUUUAAAGUGUAUCAAGUUAGUACCCUGUGAUUUCGCACUUUCUCACUUUAAUACCAUGUGAUUUAAAUGUAUCAAGUUAGUACCUUGUUGUUUUGCACUUUCUCACUUUAGUAUCCUGUGGUUUAAUAUUUAAUUAAGAGAAAAAUAAAAUCACAAGAUACUAACUUGAUACAAAAAUAAAACCACAGAGUACUAACUUGAUACACUUUAAAUCACAGGGUACUAAAGUAAGAAAGUGCGAAACCACGGAGUACUAACUUGAUACACUUUAAACCACAGGGCACUAAAAUAAAAAAAUGUGAAACCACAAGGAAGGUUUUUGACGUUUUCCCUAAUAAAUUGAGUUGGAUCGGAUCGGAUCAGAUCGGAUCACCUAAUGUCCGACCCAAAAAACUUGUCGGGGCGAGCACGACCCGCAAAACAACCCGAUUCGAUCAUAUCAAAAUAAAUAAAACAAUAAUUAAGAUAUUUUAUUAAAAAUAUAAACAUGGAAGGUAGGGAUGCAAAUAAAUCCAAUUUGAUAGCGCUCUCACCCAAAUCCAUCCUAAAUAAAACAGUAAGCCAGGUCAACAACAAAAAAGCAAAAAAAAAAACUCGAAUUCAUCUGAAUUUGCUAAAAAAAAUAAAGUGAAAAGCUAGAAAUCUCUUCCUUUUUUUAAUCCGCUUCAAUCUAUUAAAAGUAUAUUAUUAUUUCAAUAUGUUCUAAAUGAAAAGUAAGUAAGAGUGAAAAAUAAAAUAAAAAUUAAUCGGCUACGAGUCACAAUCUGUGACAUGACCUCUGGAUUCAUCUAUAUUCAGAUAACUAUUUAAAAUAGUAUCUUCAUACAAUUUUACCUAAAAAAUACANCGUGUUCUCGCUCUCGCCCUCUAAGCGAGGAAGUGGGAUUUAAAAAGGCUUCGAAAUGGAGCGUAAAAUUUUUGUAGGGCGGGAAAAAAGAAUUUGGGAUUUCGUGCAAAUCGGGAAGUACAAUAUUUGCACCUCAGUAGACCCAGGUUGGGCCAAAUAUGGGCCAAACCCCAACAUUUAUACUAAUAAUAAUUAUGAAAAACUUCGAAUACCCCUCUUGUGGUUUUAUUUUUUUUCACUUUAGUACCAUACGGUUUAAAGUGUAUCAAGUUAGUACCCUGUGAUUUCGCAUUUUCUCACUUUAAUACCAUGUGAUUUAAAUGUAUCAAGUUAGUACAUUGUUGUUUUGCACUUUUUCACUUUAGUAUCCUGUGGUUUAAUAUUUAAUUAAGAGAAAAAUAAAAUCACAGGAUAUUAACUUGAUACAAAAAUAAAACUACAGAGUACUAACUUGAUACACUUUAAACCACAGGGUACUAAAGUGAGAAAGUACAAAACCACAGAGUACUAACUUGAUACACUUUAAACUACAGGGCAUUAAAAUAAAAAAAUGCGAAACCACAAAGAAGGUUUUUGACGUUUUUCCUAAUAAUUAUAAAUUGAGUUGGAUCGGAUCGGAUCGGAUCGGAUCACCUAAUGUCCGACCCAAAAAACUUGUCGGCACGAGCACGACCCGCAAAACAACCCGAUUCGAUCAUAUCAAAAUAAAUAAAGCAAUAAUUAAGAUAUUUUAUUAAAAAUAUAAACAUGGAAGGUGGGGAUGCAAAUAAAUCCAAUUUGAUAGCGCUCUCACCCAAAUCCAUCCUAAAUAAAACGGUAAGCCAGGUCAACAACAAAAAAGAAAAAAAGAAAACUCAAAUUCAUCUGAAUUUGCUAAAAAAAAAUAAAGUGAAAGGCUAGAAAUCUCUUCCUUUUUUUAAUCCGCUUCAAUCUAUUAAAAGUAUAUUAUUAUUUCAAUAUGUUCUGAAUGAAAAGUAAGUAAGAAGGAAAAAUAAAACAAAAAUUAAUGGGCUACGAAUCUGUGACAUGACCUCUGGAUUCAUCUCUAUUCAGAUAACUAUUUAAAAUAGUAUCUUCAUACAAUUUUACCUAAAAAAUACAAACUGAAGUUAAAAAAAAAAAAAGGUGAAUGUGUAGUGUAAUAGAAUCUUGAGUAAACUAGCCGUUGAACUCCGCCCCGGGCCCGGUCCCAACGGUCAAAAAAGAAGUUCGAAAAGAACUCAAAGCUUUGUGUGGAAACACUUUUAUAACACCCCCCCAAGCCUCUCAAAAUAACUCCUCUCUCUCUCUCUCUCUCUCUCUCUCUCUUCUUCAUCUUCUUCUUCGUCGUCGUCGUCGCCAGCAUCGCUCUCUGUCUCUCUUCCCCUUCUCUUUUCGUGCAUCAGAACAAUCUCAGCUCUGAAGAAACAGAGGAGGGAGAAAACGAAGAGAUCUCAGUAGAGAUGCCGCGAAUGGAGAACCAAGAAGUCCAAGAUUACGUCCCCAGCGCUCCCGCCGCUGCCGCCGCAACGCCACCGCCUUCGGGAGGUGCCACCGCCAAGCAGCCCCUCCCGGCGGCGAAGGGCUCCGACGGCAACUCCGUCUUAAAGAGGUCCUCUUCACCCUCCUCCCCUUGCUUCUUUGUGUGCUCCAUUACUCUCUCUCUCUCUCUCUCUCUCUCUCUCUCUCUCUCUCUCUCUCUCUCUCUCUCAAUUUGGUUCUCUUAUUUUAUUUUGUUUAUGUGGUUAUUUUUUGGAAGAGUAUGGUGAUCUUGAGGGGUUAAAUUAAUGUGUUGAGAAUUGGUUUUUUAUCCCUUCAUGCAUCUCUCCUUAAAGGGCUGUUUGGUUUGUUUGGUUCCUCGAAGAAGUAUGAGAAAAAAAAAUUCGAGAAAAAAGUUUUUUAUAAAAAACUCUGUUUUUAGUUUUCUCCCGCUUGGUUCUAAAAAACUAAUAUUUUUGAAACACUUUUUUUUUCACAUUUUAUUAAAAAAAAAUCAGUGUUUUUGAUAUCUAAAACUUAUGAAAUCUGAAAAAAAAAAAAAGAACUGUUUCAAAAUAAUUAAGUUUUCUUAGAACCAAACUACAAAAAAACUGAAUAAAAGAUUGUUUAUGAAUUAUUUUUUUNCAGCCCCUCCCGGCGGCGAAGGGCUCCGACGGCAACUCCGUCUUAAAGAGGUCCUCUUCACCCUCCUCCCCUUGCUUCUUUGUGUGCUCCAUUACUCUCUCCCUCUCUCUCUCUCAAUUUGGUUCUCUUAUUUUAUUUUGUUUAUGUGGUUAUUCUUUGGAAGAGUAUGGUGAUCUUGAGGGGUUAAAUUAAUGUGUUGAGAAUUGGUUUUUUAUCCCUUCGUGCAUCUCUCCUUAAAAGGGCUGUUUGGUUUGUUUGGUUCCUCGAAGAAGUAUAAGAAAAAAAUUUCGAGAAAAAAGUUUUUUUAUAAAAACUCUGUGUUUAGUUUUCUCCUGCUUGGUUCUAAAAAACUAAUAUUUUUGAAACACUUUUUUUUCACAUUUUAUUAAAAAAAAAAAGUGUUUUUGAUAUCUAAAACUUAUGAAAUCUGAAAAAAAAAGAACUGUUUCAAAAGAAUUAAGUUUUCUUAUAACCAAACUACAAAAAAAACUGAAUAAAAGAGUUUUUAGGAAUUUUUUUUUUUCCAUACUUAUCCAAGGAAACAAGCAGCCCCUUAUUUUCUUAGAAUGUGCAAUAAGUUACUCAUUUUGAGGGAUUCUAUCUUUAAAGGCAGAAGCUAAUUCUGUUUUUGUUUCUUUAAUUGAUCAUGGUUUUUUUCAUGCACUGACACCUUCUUAAUUAAUCCAUGCAAACAGGCUCCAAUCAGAACUAAUGGCACUAAUGGUAAGCAAAAAACAACAACAACAACAACAACAAUUCCAUAUUUUUCACAACUUAAUCCAUACUUGGUUUCUUUUUCUUUAUAUUUUUACUAGUCCUAGAUUAAAACUAACAACUUUGAUAACAAUGUUGUAAUCAGAUGUGUGGUGAUCCUGGGGUAUCAGCAUUUCCUGAGGGGGACAACAUAUUCAGCUGGAAGGGCACAAUAACUGGGAGCAAAGACACAGCUUAUGAGGGCAUGGUCUACAAGCUCUCCCUCUCUUUCCCUUCUGAUUACCCUUUUAAGCCUCCAAAAGUUAAGUUUGAGACCACAUGUUUCCACCCCAAUGUUGAUCUUUAUGGCAACAUUUGCUUGGACAUUCUCCAGGUACCCAAAUAGAUAAUUUCAAUUCACAAUUCACUUCAUGGCCUCUUUUCCUUUUCUAUUUGUUUUCCAUGGAUUCUUCUGCAUACAUGCCUCUGCAAAUAUGCCAAAUUGUGCGAAGUUUGUAUUUUCAUAAAAAAAAAAAAAAUUCUACUUUAUAUUGGUGUUUACGCAACUUCGCAUGUUUUUCAGAGGUACAUAUGCCAAAAAGAUAUAUUUUUUCUUUCUAACCAAAUUUUGAUUUUUUUGUCUUUGUUUUUUUGUGUGUGUUUCAGGAUAAAUGGUCAUCUGCAUAUGAUGUCAGAACCAUUCUUCUUUCAAUUCAGAGUCUUUUGGGAGGUACUACACUGAAAUUAUAUGAACUACAACUUUUUUGUUUUCCUUUCCUAUUUGUUUCUGUCACCUACAUGCUCUAAAUACUAUUCGCAAUUGAUAAUUUCAGAACCAAACAAUGAUUCUCCACUCAACACUCAAGCAGCAGCACUGUGGAUCAAUCAAGAAGGUGUGUAAAGUGUAACAUUAUUUAGUAAAAAUCCAAAAAAAAUGUUUCACAAUGAGAGAUUCUCUUACAUAAUUCACUGCUCUGAAUUUUGCAGAGUUUAGGAAGAUGGUGGAGAAGAUGUACAAACCAGCCUAGCUUUUCUUAUACAUUGGGCCCAGCAAAUGUGUACCAUCUCUCAUUGUCCACUAAGUGGGAGAAUUGAAAAUUUGAAAUUGUUCAUUCCUUCUUGUGCUUCUAUUGCUUUUCAUUUUCCAUGUGCAACUGAAACUAUUGUGUUUUCCUUUUAUCUCAGAGUUAGUAAUUUCAUUUCUUUAUCAAACUGGAAUUAUUGAUUGGUUUUAAGCAUUCUUUCUUUACUAGUGUGUGGACAAUGAAUCACAUAUUUGUACUGAGUUGGCUCAAUCAGUUUUUAAAAACUAAAAAACAAUUGUGCACAGUAUGUGUGUGGUAAUGUUAAGUUGUGAAAAGAUGUUACAUAUGAAAUUUUUUAAGUGAUUCAUACGUGUAACCUGAAAAAUAUGAAAAAUAUGAUCCAUAUCAAAUAAUUUCUAAGAUUCAACAAAUUUUUAAAAAUUUUUUUUUGUUUUUUUAAUAAAUGAUAAUACUAGUACAACAAACUUAGCUUUUGGAUAGCCAAAAUUAUAGAAUACAUUGUCCUUUUUCUAAUCGAGACUCAAAACUUGUAACUCUCCCACAUUCGCAUCCAAAUGCCUCAAACAGCCUUAAUAUUUUGACACGAAAAUAAGUUAUCCGUUGAUGAAUUACCCAAUAUAAGAAUAGCCAUAUUUUGUCUAUAACUUAAAAAAAUAAAAUAUAAUAUUUAAUUAAACUAUACCAAUCAAGAUGUUUAGUCGUACACUCCAAAUUUAUUUUUAGACUUUUAGUAUUGUAAAAAAUUCUUGAUAACAAAAAUGAAUUCACAUGAACCUUUGAGAAAUUAGAAUGAAAAGUUUUUAACUUAUAUCAUAAGUGAACAGACAAUAAUUAUUAAGAUAAAUUAAUUUGAUCGUCCCUAUUACAAGUCACAAAGGCUUCGUUUGGUUCGGGUAUAAGCAAGAACUAGUUAUACCGGGGAUAGGUACAAAUAUGAAUUUUCGUAGGAAUAAGAAUAUUUUUUUGUUUAGAUGAAAAUGUGAGUAUAAGCUGAAACUAAAAAAAUUAUGUUUGGAUGAAAAUAUGAGUAUAAGGUGGAAUAGUUGGUAGUUAUAAAUAAAAAAUAAUGAUAUUAUCCCUAUAAUUGAAUUUAAAUUUUUAAACUGAAAAUUUUAAAUUGAAAAUUUUAACUUUAAAUUAUAAAUUUUGAAAUUAGAUUUAAAAUUUUAAUUUUUAAAUUUUUAAUUUUAAAUAUCUAAUUUUAAAUUUAAGACCAAAUUUAAAUUUGAAAGAUAAAAAUAUCAAAUUUAAAAUUUGAAAACUAAAAAUAUCAUAUUUAAAAUUUAAAAUUAAAAUUUAAAAUUAAUAAAAAAAUUUAAAUUUAAAAUACCUCUCUCUCUCUCUCUACCCGGGGUGGAACACUGGCUUCCCACCUAAUACGGUACCACCUAUACCCGCUAAUAGGUGGUACCGGGUAUAGGGUGGGAAUAAGUGUUCCACCUACCAAAAAUUCUAUUUUAGAGCUUAAUAAUUGCUAACAUGAGUGACAAAGAAAUAAUAAUUGGUAUUUGAAGUUUUAAGUUCGAAACCUAAGUAUUACGUCUCUUACGGAUAAAUUUAUGUUUUUAAAAAUAAAUAUAAUAAAUUAUAUUGUACAGAUAGAAAAAUAAAAAUAAAAACAAAAAAACAUUUCCAAGGCUUGGAGGCCUCGCUAGGUUCGUAACUCAUUCCUCUCUCCCUCUCUCUCUCUCUCUAAAAGGCUUCUUUAAAAAUGGCAGUGGCGGCGGCGAGAUGGGCUCUCCUGAGGCGCCUGCGGGUGGCCGCCGGAGCUCCGGCGAUGCCGCCGUCGCCAUCGUCGCCGUCUCCCACCUCCUCCCUCGGUCGCUUCUUCUUCCUCGUCGGUCGCCGAGGGUUCUCGGAGGAGGUGAAGGGGUCGUUCCUCGACAAGGGUGAGGUCACCGAUCGCGUCAUCUCCGUCAUCAAGAACUUCCAAAAGGUCGACCCCUCCAAGGUAACACUGCCGACAACAAAAACCCUAAAAAAAUCUGCACCUACUAUUUAGGGUUUGUUUUCCGUGAUGUUAAUGUAAUCCGAUGUUUCAAUUGCCAUGGGGUCGUUUGAUCCGUUAAUGAUGUUGAUGCUUGAUGAGUAGCUUAUGCUGGAUAUUGUUUUUUUUUUAUUUUAAAGGGAGUUUGGUUUUGGGAUGUCGUUCCUAGUGCGGAUGAAUCUUAUUUGGUAGGAAUUAUGGGCUAUUAUUAUAGGAAUAAAUUGGGACACUUUAGGUGUAUAAAUAUGUAUGAUCGCCAAUUCAUUGUCAUCAAUAAUCAAUGUUGCAUUCAUCGUACAUAAUAUGUUUGGUUCUCCUUUGACCCAUCUAUAUGAAUCUAAGAUCGACCAGUGUUGCAGAAUGCAAGGUUAAGCUAGCUGGGUUCAUCAAUUGAUGUUUUAACUAGAAAAGAAUUUUCUAAUUAGGGUUUUUCUCUUCGCAUAGGAUUUUCUAGAUCUUUAUUAAGUGCUACACUUGCUAACUGUGCCCCUUCAUCCCUGUUCCAUCCUGAAAAUCCUGACUCACCUGUGCUCUCUCUUCUUCCUGAAAAUUUUCUUCGUGUGUUGUUUCGAACCUAUCUUAAUCUUGUUAGAAGACUUUAUUUCAUAGUUUUCACAUCUGCGGUCAUAUCUAAUCUGAGGACUUAAAUCUAUUCUCUCCUGUACUAUACUUGGAAACAGAUGGUAGAGAACAAUUUGUCUGUCGUAUCUACAUAAAGUCAAUCCUUCCAGAAUUUGCCAUUGCUAGUUGGUAUUUUGUCAAGAGAAUAAGGUUUGAAUUGAAAUGAAUAUGUAUGUAAUGUAGGUUUCUAAGUUGCAAUAGCUGAGCUGAGGAUAAGGGUAAAACUUUCCAUUGCAGAAGAAAAUGUGGUACAAGUGGAAGAGGAGUUCGUAGAGUUGUACAAUUGCUCAGAUGCUUCCUUUUUGGCUUUAAGCAGAUUCCAAUGGAAACCUAUGUUGCACAUAUACAUACACACAAACUCAGGAUCCAAGACACAACACUACUCAGACAUGCAACUUGACAACUCAAAAUAUUAGGGCAUACGGUCAAUGAGUAUACUAGUCUCUUUUUCUUUUCUUUUUUUUCACUUUCUUAUGUUAAUAUCACCUAGCCUUUAUUGCCGCCAUCAGUAAUGUAUAUGGUGGCAGUGGUUGGCUAUUAGGGGUAUGUUAACUGUUAAGGUUAAUGUUUAGAUUAAAGGUUAGAUGGGCAGAUUGAGAAGAAGAUUUAAAUAUUCAUAUCUAUAUUGAACAUCGUGUUCAGACUAGCAAAGUCCUUAAUGUUUUUGCUCUAGUGCGCAAGGAGCUUGCUUUCUCUUCUUACUCCUUGCUGCUAUCGUGCUACUCUUCAUAUCAUAUUGUUGCCUAUUGCUAUUUAGACUAAGUUGUUUCUUAUCCCGGUGGUAUUGAAGGUUAGGAAAUUAUUGUGAUUCCAACAACCAGGUUUUCUUUGUGUACUUCGAAGAGAACUUUAUUAAACAGUUGGGGCGGAAAAGUUGCACUUUUUGCUUGUUUUCAUCUGGUGAAUUCUACCAUCCUACACCUCAACAGCCGUCCCCUGUUUUCUGGGAUUUUGAUAAUGAUACUGAUGUGUAGGAUUAGGGGCUUUUAUUCAGGUGUGUUUUGAUUCCCUAUUUUGAUAAUUGUGUAGGAAUGCUUGUUUUUUUCAUGGUACUUUUUUUUACUAUUCAAAUUUCUUUUGAUAACUACACACACACACGCGCACACACACACACACACAUAUAUAUAUAUAUAUAUAUAGAGAGAGAGAGAGAGAGAGAGAGAGAGAGAGAGAGUUGAGCCCUGUGCUUUUAAAAGUAUAGGAGCUCAACGUGUUUGUGAUUUUUUAGCCAUCCGAUCACUUCAAAAUCCGUGCAGCAUUAGUAGAGGGAAUUAAUGGGAUACGUCGUUAAUAGUGCUGCACAGAUCUUAAGGUGAUCCGACGGCUAAAAAAUCUCAAGUACAAAUGCUCCUGUGCUUUUAAAAGCACAGGAGCUCAACUCUCUCUCUCUCUCUCUCUCUCUCUCUAUAUAUAUAUAUAUAUAUAUAUUUGCACUCUUGCUUAUCAGCUACACCUGCACAAAUUUUCUUGCUGCAUAUUGGUAGAUUCUAUCUAUAGCUGUGUUACACCAGUUCCUUCGCAGGUAUCUGCUUUAAUUACAUGCUUUUUAUCAUAAUAGCAUGUUUCCAUCAGUUAAUUUCAUAUAGGGAACUGCUUUGGUCGUUGCAUUAACGUAGUUUUCAUUUUCGUUGGAGCAUAUUCUUUGCUUUCCUGACAUCUUGCAUUCAUGUAGUUUUCUGCGUUAUCAUGGUUUUUACACCAGUAGACAUGGCUGGUCAAAUUCUGGAAAUGAGUGGCCUUUGUAUACAUUUAAAACCCUAAGUAGCGAGGGUGGCUUGUGUUGCAGGUGACACCAAAUGCUCAUUUCCAGAAGGACCUUGGCCUUGACAGCUUGGACACCGUAGAAAUUGUGAUGGCCUUUGAGGAAGAAUUCGGGUUUGAAAUCCCCGACAACGAGGCGGACAAGAUUGAUUCCAUCAAAGUUGCUGUCGACUUCGUCGCCUCGCAUCCCCAAGCAAAAUGAGGGAACGAUAAGGAUGUUGCAUCUGUUUUAGUUUUUCCUGCUAUUUAAAGAUCCUCUUCAAGGUGUUUAAUCCGAAACAUUCAGUUUGAGCUGAAAAAUUAAAUUCGGCGCAGAGUCUCGGACUCAUCCGGUAGAAGCUUUGUGCUUUUUGAAGCUAGAGAUGCUAUGGGCAUGAAAGUUUUUAUGAUCUUGUUAUUUGUCCAUUAAUUUGGGCACGUGAGUUCUUGUUGUUACUUAUCAUAACCGCCCAUUCCAUAGUUGAAGAAAAUGAUUCACCUGGUUGCCACUCUGUUUAGCGCCUUCACAAGCGGGCAAGAUAUAUAUGCUCACUAGAUAUCCGCUUACAAAGAGGAUCAUGCAAAUAUACACAUGUUGACUCGUAUAGAGUGCAUAUGAUGGUCGUAAUUUUUUUUUUUCUUUUUUUCUUUCUAAUGCCACCCUCUCUUUAACCAACUAAUGGUAAAAUUUUUGUUUAUAUAUGAAUUAUUGAUCGAAGUGAUCACGAGUAGUGAUGUACCUUACGCUAGUGAAAAGUGUAAUAUUGAUAUAAACCGGAGAUAUUUAAUUACCACACUCAGAACCAGUUGGAAAGUUUUAAAAGGAAAAAGAAAAAUCUGCGAAUGCAAAAACUACGCUACUCGACUUCGUGAUGAGGAUGAACGUCUCGUCCAAGUACUAACAUGAUACAAGAGGCUCAGCCAUAACCUACAAAUCCUGCAUUCUUCAUGAAUAUAGGAAAGCAGCAGAAAAUCUCAAAUCUCAAUAAACAGUAGGAAAAACAAAAUCUUCAAAACAAUCGUUGUUCCUAUAGCUCACAUUGGAUGCACUAUGAUCUUGACCCCUCUAUUUUUGUAAUCACUAGAGAAACCUUGAGCUGAAGGAUACUUCCAACUUCAGAUGCACAAUAGAAUGCAGAACAGGGCGAACUUAUGAUAGGGCAAAAGUAUAUUUGAGAAACCUAUAAAAAGUAAGGUGGGCAGUUGAAGAAUGCACAAAUGUAAGGUGGGGAGCUGAAAAAUAUAAUACUCAAAGCAGUGUUAGUACAUAAAUUCUAAUAUAACUAGAUAGGCCUGUUUCAGAUUCAUUCAUGUCUAAUUUUUGUCGGCUCUUACAACACUUACGGCAACAAACUUAAUCAGCAUUAAAUUGCAAAUAAGACUCAAAACCUGAACCAACUGUCCCUAACGUAAGUGACAAAAACCUUAAUAAUUGAUAUCUGAGAUCCUAAGCUUGAAGCCCAGUUGUUUUACAUUUCUAGGUAAAUUUAUUUUUAGAAAAAACAAAAAAAGGAGAACAAUGCUAAUAGCAUGCUACCAUUCUCUCAAAAAAAGAAGAAAAAAGAAAGACUCAGAAUUGAACUAAAAGAGAGCUUUGACAAAAAGCUCAAUAUAAUCCAGAAUAACGCACAGAGUCUAACACAACUUUUAUCAUUUGAGAUAGCAACCUGUCAAUGUAGAAAUAAAAAAACAAAACAAUAUAGAACUAUCUGGUAAACCAGUUUCUUUUCAAUGUUCUAUUAAUCGACAAAUAUGACCAAGUUGCAUUUGGAAAGUCAAUGUCACACCAUAAAAGUGGCAAUGUUUGGUAAUUACAACCCCGCAUAAAAGCCAAGCUCCAAAAAAAAGUAGUCAUUGACAGCAAAUACUAACCCAGCAAAUUAUCAUUCAUUAGUCAAAUGGUUAAAAAUAAAGAGUGUAAGAAGAUUUCUUCAUUGAAAGCAAAGAAAGUUAACAACACAAAAUAAUGCAAAAGCAAUAAUAGCUCCGACCUGUGAAUCAGUCUUGACUUUCUAUUUCCAUUUUUGCACUUGUUUUGCGCAACAAUUUAACAUGCGACACUUGGAAGUAUGAGAAUACUAUUUAAUGGUGGAACAUUGCAACUAUUUUGCUACCUUGUGGAAAGUGGUCCAUUAGUAAAGAUAUUAUAUGAUCAUACUGUGACACCCUAAUACCACAAAAGCAUCUCUCACCACAAAAAAAAAAAUUAGAAAAAUUAAAAAAAAUGCUAUAUUGAUUUAGAAGCAUCAUAAUAAUCUUCUUUAAUAGUUAAUAUUUCGAUAGCAUGAGAAGAAUGGCUGAAUGUACCAAUUGUUAUAUGAAAAUGGGAAAUAGGCAGCAUAUUUUCUAUUAAUUGGUAUCUAGGCUCAGUAACAACUUUUCAAGAGAAAGAUCUAUUGGUUUGACAAUUUAAACAGUGGAAUCCAUACUAGUCAUAUGAGUUCAGCAAAAUUUAACAUUUUUUUCCUUUUGUUUGCAUGCAUUUUCAUGGCUUGUUUUGCUGGAAGUGCUAAAAAUUAUACUGAAAAUUGUUCCAUCUGUAGAAAUUCCCCUUUGUAAACUAGUUUAGUAAUUAAUGAUUACGAAUAAGGAUUGGAUUGUCAUGUAAUCAAAUAAAUAUCCAGAUGAUGCUAACUAACAAAACAUAAUAACACAAUUGAACCUAAUUCUCGACAAUUAAAACCAAAUUGCUAAAUGAUGUUUACACCUCAACAGCUUUCUCUUAACCAUUGGGAUUAACUAAAAUUAGUUGAGACUUGCAAUGGCUAAUUUUUCAGAAAAAGUGAACCUUCAAUUUAGUUAGUAAACUAUCAAGCAAUUUCAUUUGGUAGAUAAAGCAAAUGAAAAGGCAUUGUUGAUCGGAAAUAUUUUCAGGAAAUGGUAGAAAGAGAAAACCAUCUGGUUCCAAGCGGCAAAGGAGAGUUUGAUUGCCGACAUGUCCAUAUACUGCCUGCUGAUAAGGAAAAAAAAAACAUGGAAAAUGAGAUAAAAAGUAAUUUGUAUCCAGAAAGACAUGAGAACAUACUUAAAAAUUAAUUAGACAAAAAAGAAUAUGAGAAAGAAUCAAUUAUAUAGUAAUAAUAACAGAAAAUACUACUAAUAUCCUGUUAUAUAAAACCUACUUCUCGAGCACUAGAAAGGAAAGCAAACAAAACUCUCAUAAAAACUACUACAGAAAGUCCUACUUUAUUGUUUCUUCCCACAAAGAUUGCAUCUGGAAAUACAAGCCUCCUCAAUUAUUGCUUGUUUUUCUCUCUCCUUGAUAAUUCUGAGGUUUUAAACAUGGCCCCACUCUUGCUUGAGUUUAACACUUGUAGAAGGGUAUUGGCACUCAGAGGAAUUAGUCCUAUAAUUUUUACCUCAAUAAAGAAAGAAUUAAUCAUGGCUUAAACAGCUUACAACCAGAUAUUGACUAGUGUGAGCACAUGUUACUUUCUUUCGCUAAAGCUGAAAUCAUAGCCAGUAUCUAAUAAACAAUGAUAAUCUCCGCAGCAAGUAACCAUUUAGCAUCAAUAAGUCAUACAUAUUCAAGAAGCAAUAAUCACUUUCCUCUGGAGAAAUGGAUCUGACAGAUAAAUAGUAGUACACAGACUCACCUAGGUCAGAAGAAAGUCUUCCUGAGUCAGCUAAAAGAUCUAAAUUAAUAGCAAAGGCGCCGGUAAAUGCUAAACCUCAUCAAAUACUGAAAUAGUGAAAGCCAGAGAAGCUGAUCGCAAUAAUGUGAAAGCAAGAAGAAUGAUGACCAAAUAGCGAUCCCUUUUGUCCAAUUUAUUGAAAGGGCCACAAAUUGCACAUCAAUGAAAAAUGAACCACUCAGGCAAAUAACCUUACUGACUGCCGCCGAGUAAAUCAUGCUUUGAUUCUUACUAACUCAUAAAUGAGAAAUACUUCUUCAGCAUGCAGAGAGGUUUGGGCCCACUUGGAAUUACCUUACCAACAAUUACAAUGAAAGUAUCACACGAAGUUGAACACAUCUCUUCUAUUUACAAUGUUAUAGAAUCAGAAUUCCCCACCUGUACCAUCAAUCCAUAAAGGAGCUCACAGGAUUGUCUGUGGGUGUGGCAGCUAAGUGACCAUGUGUACAAGCCAUAAGCACCUCUUCACCUACUUCAUUAGAGCUCCUGAUAGUAUUCGGUGAACUAACCACUAUUUGAGAAGCAUUCUCAUCUCCAGAAGAGAAGGUUUUCUCUUCAUCAUGCAUCAGUGUGGGCAUCAUAAUAGGCCCAUUUGUUAAUUCAACUGCAGUAGAUGAAGGCAAAAUUUCAACUGCAGUAGAUGUAAUACCAUCUUGUUUCCUCUCCUCAUAGCUGUUUUGAUCCUCAAAACAAACUGUACCUCCAACAGCAAGUUCUUGAUCUGACCGAGGGAUAGCAACCCCAGAAUAUGGACAAACGGGAACGCUUCUCUUUCGGCAUUUAUGACACGUAAACCCAAUUAGAUUGUUCAAAUUCUCAAGAGUAACACAGUAAGCAUCCGCGUGAAACCAAUCUACAAAGAAAAGAAAAGACGAAAGCUGAUUUAAGGAAACAGGUAAUAGAACAAGAUUCCAAUUGAAAAGAAAACAACGAUAUAUAGUAUAAUGCAAACUUGAAAGAAAGGUCAGAAUGCUUGAUGAUUAUAGAUUCUCAACAAGAAAAUGAUUUAAAAAUGCACUUCUUAUACAUAGCCUACAAUGGAGAAGCAAUACAAUGAACUUAAAAAGCUUGAUUACCUUCACAUUUUUCACAGGCAACAUAAAUUACUUCUGGACAAUAACCUUUCGAACAAAGGCAACAAACUGGUGCUAAAGAGGAGGAUUCCUCAAUAUGUUGGGAUGGCAAAAGAACUUUCCUUUUUCUAAAACAUUUUCCAUGUUCAUUGUCCACAUUGUGUGUCCAAUGAAGGCCAUUCAACCAGUAUGGGUAGUGCAUUACUGUUCUCUUUCUCUUCCGCCAGAGUAUUUCAUUCUCAGAUUGUUUUGAAGGGUCCGUUUUAGAACUAAUUUCAGAUCUUUUAGAUUGGCCUUUUCCAGAUUCAUUAGCAAACUUUUUCGGCCGUCCCCUCUUAGAUUGAGCCUGUUUCCCUCUCUUCUUCACACCAGCCUUCUUCAAUUUCACCACUACACGUUUUAUCCUUUCUGACCUACGCAAUGGCAUUUUGACCUCAGAGGUUUUCUUCUUAUUCUUCUUCUUCUUCUUUACUAACUUUUUUCCUCGAGGUUUUGCUUUCAAACUUUCUUUGUCCUUGCAUACUUGAGGUUUCGUGCUCGAAGUUUGUUUGUCCGUGCAUACUAGAGGUUUUGCCUUCAGACUUUGUUUGUCCUUGCAUUUAGAGCAGGUGUAAGUUGUACAUGUAGCACCUCUAGGUACUUUGAAAUGUUUUCUGUGGAAAAACCCUGUCCAGUGUAAAGAAGUUUAGCUGAGAUACCACCAACGCCAAAAGAUGAAUUUUGAGUAGCACAUCAACAAUUUAUUUCACAUAUUUGUGUGUAUGUUGGAAAAAAAACUCAAAAAAAAUGGAUAACAAUAUAGUGUUCAAAGCAAGAAUGACAGGCUGAAAUAUAAUUUAUGAGUCGGGAAAAGAAGUUGUAGACAUAUUACCACAAAAUUAUGUAGCUAGUUCUACAACAAAAUUUUGUAGCUACUUCUACACAAGGGCAUUGAAAUGUAUACCAUAUCACUGGAAUAAACACGAGAUACUACGACAUUACCCUCUUCAAUUCUCCAGAACCAUGCCGACAAGAAAAUGAUCAAUAUAAUCAAAAAAAAAAAUGAAAUGGCUGAUUCUAUAAUAUGAUUGGAGCCUGAAUAUAAAGAUGUUGCAUCACUGUCGGCACAGCUAUAAUGCCUAGCCUUUUCUUCUCAAGUAGAGGAGCUGUUCUUGAGGUAAAGCCAACAAAACUUUAAGUUGAAAGUAGAAAAGCAACCUAAUUCCUGGUUAUGUGACUUAGUUUGCAUAGGUAACAAAGUCCCUUUAUAUCUGAUGCGGGUUACAGUUUCUGGGCAAAAUAUAGUAAGAUACUGCUUAGUAUGCACAUUAAAUAGUUUUUGGCAUCGAUGCAUUAUAUCACACCACACAGAACAUUAUACAAUCUGCAAGAGCUACCAAAUAUGUACAAAUUCCUUUUAAAUUUGAAGUGAUCAAAGCAAGGUUACUAAUCAGUCUAAUUACAGAUAAAUUUAUCUACAAGCAUGCCCAUAAAGUAUCAUAGUCCUGUUACAGGCAUUAUUCUGCCUUUCCAACAGCAAAAUCAUCAUAAACAAUGAAUACUAAAAAACAUUUGAGCAUUUGAGCAGCAGUGCAGCACGUAUCAAAAGAAAUUCAAUCAGAUCUGCAAGUACAAAAAGUGUCGAAUAUAAUGUUCAUGACAAAAGAUAAAUAACAAGCUACCAACUGAAACGGACAAAACUAGCUUAAGCACACUUAUAUCAUCAUCAUCAGCAUAGAUGAAAAUGUUUCAUAUGAAUCCAAUAACAUCAUCAGCAGAUAAAUAGUAAAUAAUCCAAACAUCUUAACACUCAAUGCUGUGGCAGGCUACAACAACAUACAUAACAAACAAAAAAACCAGGCAAUAGAUACGAAAUGUUUCAUACACGCUGUCCUUUAUGCUUGAAAGAAAACAGGUUAAAAAAGAAAUGUCUGAAGUGCAUACCGUUACAAUAUUGGCAAUUCACAGCUUCACUGUAUGAAGAAGAGGAAGCAUAAGUUAGAAACCGGUCUGAAUAAAGUUGGAAGCACAGACAACCGUCGCAGCUAAAAAAGGAUAAACAAGACUUUACAUGCAAAAGAACUUCUAUCUUUGAAAAUGAUUGAUUUUAUAAACACUUAUACAUAUGGAGAGAAUACUUAAAAUGCAAACUUUAUAUACAUGACAUUUUUGUGUAAGCAUGUAAACUUAUACCACUAGGUUAUUGACACAAGCAAGAGAAAAAACAAAAGAAAGCUGAAAAAGUUCAAUGGUACAUAUAAAGCAUGCAUAAUACUUUGGGUAUCCAAUUCUUUAACGGAGAAAUGUUUUCUAAAUGAAAAUUGAAUCUUGAUUAAACAAGAACUAGUCUGACUAGGUUGAUUCCCUCAGUUCUUCCAAUAGUAAUACUAGCCAGUGGAGUGCAUCAAUUGGCUGGUCUUCAGGCUAAUCAUACAUACUAAUCAGCUGAUAUUUAAGAGCUUAAUCAGUCCAAUCUGUUCUUAUAUUGGAGCAGUAUUUGAGUUGGAAUCUUCAGAAAAAGGUAGUUGGCUGGGGAAAAAAGAAAUAGAAGAUAUGGCAGGGGGGAACGUUCUUAAUCAAAAGAUCAACUUGAAUCUUGUUGAGGGGCAUACAGAACAGCGUUCAAGUGCAGAAAGCAGAGUGAUGCAUGACCGGUUUUUAAGAGAAACAAAACACUUUCAGUUUACAGCCCACUCCUCCCCUUAUUUGUCUUCUCUUUUCAUAAUUUCUCGCUUCUUCUUUGAUCCAUCACUGUCCCCAAUCUUCUCCAAACUUAAGGGCAACAGAUGUGCUGUUUUCUACCCUAAACAAUAUCAGUAAAAAAUUAGCCUUAUUUAAAGUUAAUCAAAUGUGACUACUGCAUCAGAAAGAUUGUGUAACAGUUGCAUCCCUUUCUGUAACUUGGAAGUUUGAAAAUACAUGUUUCGUGAUGGAACACAAAAAAGUUUUUAGAUUGACGAAUUCCUGGGCUCCUGCACUGGAAACUAAUGAGCACAGACAUAUAUAGAUAAUUAAGGGCCAUAAAUUUCUAAUCAGGUGAGUAGGCCUGCAUGUGCGGGGAAUGGGGCGCAUGGGAAAAAUUAAAAGGAGUGCAGAUUAUAAAUACAUGGGGAUAAAUUAUGGAAAUGGUAAUCAGAUUAUAAAUACCUGCGGAUAAAUUACAGAAAUGAUAAAAUUUCCAUACCUGACAAGUACUUUUUCAUUACAGUGGCCACAAAUUUCGCCCGCCAACUGUUGUGCUUUCAAAAAAAGAAGUGAAAAUCCUUCCGAUCUUUUAGUCUUCCUUGAGAUGCAAUCACUUGCCCUGUCGGCAAGAUUGGCAGUCUUCUUUAAUUUGCAAUCACUUGCCCUAUCAGAAGGAUGGUCAGAAUCUUUCUUUUUCUGUACGCGAGCUAAUCUCUUUUCUUCAAAUGCUUUUAAGAGAUCCAAGGGAACAUGACAUUCACUCAACCAAUACUUUUUCCUGUCACUGGAAGGCUCUUGAAGUAUCACGCCAUAUCUGGCAACAAUAGGAGGGAUAUUAUCCCUCUUUCCAAAAUCAAGUAGAUACUUUACAUUUGUUCCCUCGAUGGAUUUUCUUCGUAUAAUGACUUUCUUAAAAAGCUUUGUUAAUUUCUUUGAAUCCUUAGACGCAGGAGGAAAAGGUUGAGUACUGGAAAUUGCAGUCCAUUUAAUGUGCGAAUCGAAUUCUUUAAUCUGGAAAAUGAAUGAAACACAGUAAGAGCGAUUUAUAGUUAGUUGUAGAUGACGGAUUAGGGAGUUAGUUGUAUUACCUGGAAUAAAAGCUGAGCCACACUUUUUGACAUUUCAACAGCAGCACGCCAGGCAAUGCAUUUGCUUCUCCUGGCAAUAUCUGAACCAUCAGGGUACAAGAUGCUUGGAAUUUUUUUAAAACCCGCUGCAAAAAUUUUAGAACCAAAAAGAUAUAUAAAAAUGUACUUAAUUCUGUCAUAACAAAAUCGUUGAAAUGAUAAUACUUACCUUGCCUGCCACUCUUGGAGGCCAAUGAUCGAGGCAACCUCUUCCAUUGAUACACCUGACGGGAUAGUUUGCCGCCCCUCCACCAAUUGACAUGAGAUGUAGAAUCAUCAGAGAUAUUAUUACGAUCACUAGUAGGAUUAGAUUUCCUCCCCUGCUUUUUACUGCUUCCAUUAUUCGAAGAUUCAUGUGAAUCAGUCAAAGAAUAAGAUGCUGAACCAAUUGUAUUACUAAAAUCCACAGGUUUAAGCCAUUCUGCUGAGAGUGCAAUGCGCCGCAAACUUGAUUCUAACUGCAGAAUAAGGGAGGAUAAGCUAUUGCAGGUAACUAGAUGAUGAAGAAGACCGAGCAAUAUGAGAAAGAUCUUGAUAGAAAUCAAACCAGGGAAUAGUUUCGCGUGGCAUGGGGUUUGUCACUGCUGUUACAGCAUGUAAUGUGGUAAAGACCUACUACAGUUGCCUGAUAUUUAAGUUUUUUGGUGAAAACCUAUAAUAAUUGCUCAUAAUUGUUCUGCAUAAUUAUUGCUUACUAUUCCAGAUUUAGGAACAAGCAUAAUUAAGGAUUAUUUAGAAUUGCUCAAACAAGGGUUACAAAUUGGGGAAAUCAGAAUUUCCACAAUUAACCAGCAAAUUCCAUAAUUCAAAUGCAUCAUAAGCAUAGAAAUCUUAGAUAGGAAUAACAGACUCUAUCUAUAGGAUAAUGUCAGCAUGAAACCAUGCUGAUGCCAUGUUGGCACUUUAGGUGCCAAAGAGCAAAGGUGGCACAGCAUUCAAGGAUAAAACAUUAGCAGUAAUCACUUACAGUAAGAAGCAGGUUCUUUAGCGAUGUGACAUCAGAUGCCUUCAGAACUGCCUCACGCCAAACAUUACUAAAAUGUGGGUUCUGCCAGGGGCCUGACAAUAAACUACGCAAACGAUCUUCAAUUGAUAAAAUAUAAUGCGCAGUAGAAGCAAUAUGGUUUUUCUUGUCCUUUUUCAAAAAUUGUCCUUCGGAAGGUGGUCCAGAACUUUCAAGAAGGUUACCAUCUGUAUUUUUAAAUAAACAAUCAGCAUCACUGGAGGUUCUGCAGGAGUAGCACCAUCCACAUUUUUCUUUUUGUGCAUCGAAAGAUAGCUCCCGAUAUGGAUAGCAACAAAGCUUAAUGGACUUCUUAGGUAUUGCCUUCAGCUGUACUGACAUCACGUCCUCAACAGAUUUCUUUACUUCCUUAGUGUUGCACUCAGAUGAAAUAUGUGUCAACUCUUCAGCAACAGAAGAAGCUAUACGACCAAAACUGUAGUAAUUCACGUAACUACCAAGAUCAAAAUGGAGUUGAGAAGCCCCAUCUGUCCUUUGCUCAGUAAUCACAAAUGCACCAGCAUAUGAACCACUUUGUCUCCCAUUCUCAACAGCUGCGUCAGCAGGUGUUAAUAUAAUGACCUCUUUCCCAGUAAUAUCAGCAUCAUCUGAAGAAUUUACACCACUCUCAUGGGCCAGUCCAUUCAAAAUUUCAGAACUGACUAAUGUUGUCAUCCCUUCAGACUGAAGUGAAUCCGGAUGAUUUAAAAUGACCUCAUUCAACUUGCUUAAGUCAGAACCAUUAGUUAUAUUAGUGCCCAAAUUUUCAGCAGACGGAGAAUUAGACUCUGGAAUCUUUCCGACAUCCUUAUCACCAGAAAAAUCCUGCUUUAAAGGUAAGGAUAGAUUGUCGUUAUUAUGAAAAUCUGGCAUUCCAUGGAUGUUGUGAUUCUCAUUAUCAAAUUGACCAUAAUAACUAGAAGAUUCCACAGGAAUAUCCCACGAUGCACAUAUUGCAGUAGUGAUUGGUUCAUAUGAACAAUCAGAUGAUUUCAACACUCCCAUAACAGAAAGCAAAUCAUUGCUUUUAUAAUAAUGGCAUGAAGCUUCUGCAUUGCAUGAGUCAGACCUGCAGUUUUAUCAAACAACAAAUACUUUAUGAUAUUAGAUAGUUUUUUUUGGGGGAGUCAUGGGUGAAUAAAGAUCCUUAAACAAACCAGCAAAAAUCACUUGAAAGAUCAUAAAAACAGAAAAGGAAAUGAGCUGUCCUAUCGAUUAAAGAAAGUUCUAACUGCUGCCUUUCUGACCAAGUACUUCAGGUAGACACUUGCGAUAACAGAAAUAUACACAAAAUAAUAUGAAACCACUGCAUAAAACUAUAUUGAUCGAAAAUACCACAACCCCCAAACUUUAUCUUAAGGACCUACUUCAAUACAUGAGCAUCUUGUUCAGCAUAUUUCUUUUGUUUGCCAAGGGGCGUGGUAAUUGGCCCAAAAGAUACCUACAACUGCAUAUAUGAGUCUGGCUGGUAUACUAUCGGUAGCACGGAAGCCUCCGUGCUACCAAGUUGUUUUCGAUGAUACGGCUUCCAAAUCAACGAUCAGCUCUGUUAGACUUGAUCCACACUAUUGAACGUAUUUGAAAACUAAAUUUUAUAAUUUUUCGACAUCAUUUACCUAUUCAAACGAGUAGUAUAAAAAUGAACGGCUAAAAAUAAAAAUCUCAUAAAAAAUGAUGAUAAAAGACUUGAAUUUAAAAUCAAAGGUACUGAUCUUACUCUAAAUAGUAAAAAAAAAUUUCUAUAAAAAUUUCAUCAAAUUUGGAUUAUUUUACACCAUAAAAUUCACAAACACAUCACAUCGGCCAUUAAAAUUGUCAUUUUUUAGGCCUUUUGAUCACUAGCCAAAUAAUGUCGAAAAAUUGUGAAAUUUAGUUCCAAAUAUUUUCAAUAGUGUAGGUCAAGUCUAAUGAAGCUGAUCGUUGAUUUGAAAACCGCAUCAUCGAAAACAACUUAGUAGCACAGAGGCCUCCGUGCUACCGAUAGUAUACCAGCCUAGUUCUCUCUCUCUCUCUCUCUCUCUCUCUCUCUCUCUCUCUCUCUCUAUAUAUAUAUAUAUAUAUAUAUAUGUAUACAUAUAAAGCCUCCAAGUAGUUCUUCUCGGCAUAUGAUAAUCACCUGGUUGGUUGAAUGUAUAUCAGGAAAAGACAAUUAUGAGGACCUCACAAUGCAGAGAAAUCAAGCUUCUAAUUUGCAAUCACAUAAGUUAUCAUAGAAUAAUUUGUUCCGACAUCCAAACAGGCCCUAAAAGAUUCACAAACUAGAAAGGAAAAGCAGAAAAAAGCUGAAGAAAAACAUUAUGAAGAAAUAACUCGAAAGCUUUAUAAGAAUUAAUCCUGUGAAAUUUUAGCUUUCGCCAUAUAUCGCUCAUAAUACAUAAUCUAACCGAUUCUCAACAAUAAUACAAGGGUGAGUUACGUUGUAAUUGUAGUUCAUUUCAUUUGUAAGAUAAGAUCCAAAUCCUUGCAAGUAUUUCCAAAAGACAUUACAUGAAAAGUCCAACAGCAGCAUAAUUGCUCUGUUAUCUUGUCCUCGGAGAAAAAGAUAUUUUCUCUUCCAAACUUUCAAUUAUGGUAACUAAUAGUUUCUACCAUAACUCCACUGAAAAAUCUGUGGCACCAACAUUCUCUUCUAUAUUUGAAAAUUCCAACAGUAUAAUCAUUACUCUGUUAAUCUUGUCCUUCAGAAAAUAAAAUUUUCUCUUCCAAGCUUCUAACUAGGGAAAUUAUUAGUCACUACAUCCAUUCCUUUGCUGAUAAUCUAAAGCACACUGACACUCUUUCUUACAAUCAAGAAACAAUGAUGAGCAUAUAUAUUGACAGAUCCCAAAUGCAAUUUGACUAGAAGAAAAGAGCAGCUAUAUAUCAUUCGAGAAGGAUAACAAGUCUGGGAUUCAUAGCACUGCAUCAUCUACGACCACUGCCGACCAAAACAGCAUUCUCUACAAAGAACAUCUAAACAUUUUCCAUGAACAGAUAAAAAAUUAAUCGUUCAUGGUGAACAUAUGAACUUCCCCGCUCUUUCUCAAUCACAAAACAUCACCAACUGACAGCAAGAUUCUAUUUUCCCUUGGAAAUGUAUUAGCAAUUAUAGAAAACUAGACUAGACUAAAUUAAUAAGGAGCAAAAAUAAAAAAGUUCAAAUGUAAAAACAAUAAAAAAGCUCAACAAAACAUUUGCAUUAAUGUUAGUCGUUAGAACAAUUUAAAUACACCAUCCACUCUAAAACAUUUUGUUCUUUGAAAUGUUAAUUUUUGAUGCAGCAUCUGAUCACCUAAUCAUCUUAGUAAUAAUGAUAGUAAAUACUUGAAUUUUGCCAGCGACAAGUGUGGAAUGGUUAAACACAAGCUCGCCUGAUUUCUAUACAAAUCUUUACACAUGUGCACGACCACCUUGGCAGUCUGUCAGCCCAUUGCCAUGAAGGACAUUUAAUAGUCUAAAGAUGCAGACACAUGAAUGAAAACACAUUAGGAAUCAUGUGCUAAAUCUUUGCAAAUGUUUGAACCGGUUGCCUCUCCGACCAGGAAUCAAGUUAUGAACAUCAUAGGUGAGCAUGUGACAGGUAAUAAGAGGUGAAAAAGAAAAAUAUGAAGGCAGAGUAAGAAAAUAACAUGACAAUUGAAUCAGCCUUAUUGGAUUUAGUUCAACAGAUUGUCAUCUUUGAAUCUUGCUAAAAACAUCUGGAACUUUGUAAUCAUUGUCUAGGGACUUAACAGUCAGUGCAGCUAAAGGAUCAGGGAGUAACUUUACAAAGCCCAGCAUUGCCAAGUGAGGCCAUAUGACAUAAUAUGAUCAAGCACUCUUCUCUAAUAUUUCAAGUACUACAGAGAGUAGAGUAGCCUAGUCCAUAGGUGAAUGAUGAGAUAUAUUAUCGAGUCAACAUUUGAUCACCAGAUAUAAAAAUUAGGAUUAGCCAAUGCCCCUUGGACUUCCAUGUUAUUGCGAAUAGACUUCUAGGUAAGUAAUCAAAAUCAACCGUUGAAACUUCAUAAGUAGUCACCAGUGCAUUUGACCCUACGAUCCAAACAACUUUAGCUUCCUAUUAUGUGUCUAUCACUUAUCACUUGCCAAUUAAGGAGUCGACAUCAUAGUAGCAACAAGAUGAAUUAGGGCUUCAUCAGGCCACCAAUGGAAUGAAGGAUUCCAUAGCACUAUUUGCUUCAAUUCGUGGCUUUGAAGCAAUAUACAAUUUUAGUUUUUCUUCUCUUUCAGCAGAAAUAGGAGAUCAACCGCAAAUUUUAGUUGAACUUAAAGAGACAGGUGACACAUUAGUGAUAGGAAACUUUUAGGAGACUAAUAUUAGUUGGAUAGAACAGUUGAUUGCAUUGUUACAUGAAGCUAAGAGAGCAUGUUGCACAAUUCAAGUUUACACUUUUGUUAGUUAUAUAAUAACUGCAAAAGCAUGAAAGUUCAAGAGGUGUCAAUAAAUCUAUCCUUAAUCAAGAAACUACCAUACGAUCAGUAGUUACGAGACUCAGAAUUUCACAUACCAAUUUGGAAACUAAAAUUCAUUGAGAACCAUUAAUUAAGGAACUUAAGCUGAAAACUUGAUAUCAGUCUUCAUGUAUAAACAUAAUGAAGAACUUGUACAAACUACUAAGUGCAACUUAAGAAAGGCAUGUACUUUGGCAUAAUGUCUAGUAUCCCGAUGGGUCGAGCCCCCAGCAUCUUGGGUUAUAUUUUAGUAUGAGUUCUUGGUGAAGUUUAUACGGUGUAGGGGCCUAGAAGAAAGAUCAAUAUAUAUAUAUAUAUAUAUAUAUAUAUAUAUAUAUAUAUAAAGCUCCACAUACCCACUUACUAAAGGUUUUCUCUUUGCUAAUGCAUGCUCAUGUUAAGGGGUGACAAUGCUUGAAAAAGGUCUAAGAGAAUAGGUGAAAUAUAUUAUUGUACAUUUCUUGUUAUCACGAUUCAAUUUACUGUUUGGCACUGCUCAAUUGUAUUCCAAAAGAAUAUUGACUAAAACGAUCGACGCUACAUUUAUAAAAGAGUAUUUCCAAAGACUGAGAGUUAAUGACAAAAGAAAUAUUAUAUAAAAAUAGAAAGAGCAUAUUGUAGCAACUAAAAUAUGCAGAAUGACGUACACCAAAAGAUAGCCGCAGCUUCUAAAAUACAUACGUCCAUGUGGAUCUAUUCCCAAAACCUCUGCUCCUUGGCAAGCCUUCGACAAAUUAAUCAACCCAUCACUUCUUUCCAGCAAACAAUCAGGACAAUACCAGUCGCCUUCGGGCAAAAGAUCUUUAGCCACUCCAACGCAUUUAGAAUGAAAUGCAGCAGGACAACCAUCACAGCAUAGAAGAUUACCAUCCAUCCCACAAAGGCAACAUUCAUCGCUAUUCCCAUCAACAUCAUCUUCAUAUUUGUGAGCGAACGAACCCCCCAAAGUUUCCAUACCUGGCUUAGUCCUCCGUUUUGCGAUGGUCAUGUUUGUGUUGUACUCAGAUUGGCUCAUUCUUAAAUUCAGUUCUGAUCUAAUUUCUUCAACUUCAAUGACAUUAUCACAUAGACAACGGAGUAAAUCCAGUUUCACGUCAGCAGGCUGUUCAUAGUACUCCUUAUUCAAGAGCCUCAAAUGAGUAAGUUUGAUACCAGAUUUCAAACUUGAACCAAAAACUAGUAAGUACUCAGCAAGGUAAAGAGGCCAUGUUACUAAAUCUAAGAGCUCCCAAUUAAGGUUCCUACAAAGAAUAGAUGUAUAAAAAAGAAGGCAAUUAACAGAGUAAGAGAUAAAUUGCCUACUGAACAAGCAAAGUGAAUAACAGUAACAACGGAAGCACCUGAUGCAAUCAGUAGCUGACUGAGAUCCUUCUUCAGAAAGGAAUUCCAAAUGCCUCUUCAAUGCUUGCAAUAUGGAAAAAUGAAUAGAGUCGAUCAAUGAAUUCACAUGUUUGCAUCUCAAAGCCGCCACAAAUGCUUCCAACCCAAACGGGCUCAGAAACAGAGGCCUGCUAAAAGAUCUCAAACAAGUGUAAACAGAGAAAAGAUCGAGGACAGGAAGCCCUUCUAAAUCCAAAUCAUUCGAAGAAGAGGGCAGUUCUGGAUUGGCGAAAUCCUCACUAACACAUGCAUCAGCUUUAGCCUCUGAAAUUGUAUUAUCUUCAGCAGCCACCUGAAGCGUAACAGAAUUCUCAGUAGAUUGCAAAGAAGUAUUUGCUCUACGAGCACUCCUCCUCAGAGGUGUCACAGUAGAUAAAUCGACUUUCUUCGGACGCCCUCGUCUUCUCUUUCGACCUUGAUCACCCUCCUCUGUUCCACACAUAGCAUCAUCUCCCUGCUCUAUAGGAUUUUUCAGUGUCAUCUCCUCAAUUUGUGUGUCGGUAUAGGGUUCUCGAGAGCCAUUUUCCUUCAAAUCAACUGCGAAUCCUUCACUAGUACCAUUUUCCUCCAACCUCACCAUCUCCGGAGUUCCUCCAAAACCCUGAGAAGAAUCUUUCUCCAACAAAUCCCCAUACGAACACUUGCCAUUAGCUUCAGCUCCAUCUAUAGCACCCAAAAAACCACUAUGCCCCUCGAUCCCACCAGAAACCUUAGUGUUUUCCACCAAAUUCCCACCUCCCUUUCUCAGUGGUGUCACCGUAGAAGAUUUGACUUUCCUGGGACGUCCCCGUCUUCUCUUUCGAACUUGCUCACCCUCCUCUGUUCCAUGUAUAUUAUCACCUCCCCGCUCUACUAGAUUUUUGGGGAUCAUCUCCUCAAUUUUGAUAUCCAUCAAGUGUUCAAAAAACCCACUUUCCUUCACAUUACCCACCAAUCCUACACCACUACCAACUUCCUCUGACCUCCCCAAUUCCGGAGUUCCUUUCAUCGCCUGAGAAGAACUUCUCUCCAAAAAAUCUCUAUUAGAACACUCAUCGCUAGCUUCAGUUCCAUGUAUAGCACCAAAAACUCCAUUUUGCCUUUCGAUCCCAUCAGAAACCCCAGUGCUUUCCACCAAAUCCCCAUCUCUCCUUCUCAAUGGUGUCCCGGAAGAAGAAGUGACUUUCCUGGGGCGUCCUCGUCUUCUCUUUGGAACUUGCUCACCCUCCUGUGUUCUACGUAUAGUAUCAUCUCCCUGCUUGAUCGGAUCUUUGGGUGCCGUCUCCUCAAUUUGGGUAUCUCUAAACCCUUCAGAAGAGCCAUUUCCCUUCACAUUAUCCACCGAUCCUUCACUACAACCAUUUCCCUCCAACCUCCCCAAUUCCCGAGUUCCUACCAAACCCUGAGAAGAACCUUUCUCUAACAAAUCUCCAUUGGAGCACUCACCACUAGCUUCAGCUCCUUCUAUAGCACCCAAAACAUCAUUUAGCCUCUCGAUCGCAUCAGAAACCCUAGUACUCUCCACCAAACCCCCACCUCCAUCCCCCAAAGCACUACCCUCCCCAAACCCCCCGUUCUCCACAGAAUCCGGCUCCGCCCGCCGCCGCUUCUUCGGCCUCCGCCCGUGAUCGUCCAUCCCCUCCGCUUCUACGUGGGGUAGCUCCCCCACCUCCCCCAACAUCGACGCGAUCUCACCAAAAUCGACCUCCUCGGUGUCCCCGUCCUCGUAGAGCACCUUGAAGAAUCUCGUGGACGCAUCAUACGACUCCACAACUCCCUCAUACGUCCCGAGCCCCGGGAACGUCUUCCUCACGACACUCCCGACCAGCUCCAUCACACCCGGGGAGCUAGGGCUCCCGAUCGAUCCCCAAAACCAAAUCGAAUCGAAGAACACGAAGAACACGAAGAAGAAGAGAUCGGAUUCGACCAACAACAAGAUGAGAUUGAGGCGAAAUUGGAGAAUGGCAAGAGAGAGGGGGGGGGGAGGGUUCUCCUUUCCCUUUCGAUCUCUCGCUCUUUAAUUUCGUCGAAGAGGAGAGGAACGAAGAACGGGGCUUCGUUUCCGAUGUCCCGCGGGAACACUCUAAAUGGUGGAAUAUGUGCAAGAUCCUUGCUGUAUUCCUAUUUUGCAAAUCCGUCCUUAAACUUUUAAUGUCCGUACAGGUCUAUUUGUCAAUAAGCCAAAUGAGUUUUUUUUUUUAAAAAAAAGUUAAUUUCACGUAACUCACAAAUAAAGUAGUUGUUUUGUAUUAUACUUGAUAUUAUAAUUAUUUUUUAUAGUUUAUACAUAUGUUUGUAAUAAAAUAUACUUGUAAAUGGUAAUUCAAAAAUAUGCCGUACUUUUUUUUUCUAGUGUAAGUGCAAGAUUACCUCAAUCUAAUAUGCUCUAAUGCAAGCGAAUAAGAAAUUACAGGCAACUAGUAAAAAAAAAUUAUAGAAUGAAUAAAAUCAUGUCUAAUUUUAAAAAAAGAACCCAAUGAUCUUUUUACAAUAAAGGGUGAAACUACACAAAUAUCUGGAAAGUUAAAAAAAAACUUAAGUGGAAUAUACAGACAUUAAGAUUAUCCAUACAAUUUACACUAUUAUAUAAAUUAACUACUAUUAAUAUAAUCCAAUCUAAUGGAUACUUAGGGAUGCAAACACGCCGGAUCAUAAGGCGGGAAGGUUCCUCCACCUCCCGCUCUAUUUCUUAUCGGAACGGGACAGAACAGAUUCGAUUAUUUUUUAUUUUAUUUUCGGCUUCUACUUAAUUACCGUUCCAUUCAGGGUGGAUCGGGACGGGAGCAAAUUUUUGACGGAUUAAAACGGAUUGAAGGAAGAAAAGAAUUUUCCGCCUCCCGCUCUAUUUACUUGGCUGAUUGGCGAAAAUUUGAGGUAGGUUAUAUAUUUCUAUAUUUUUUUAUCACUUCAUUCAGAGCAGAUCGGGGUGGGAGUUCUACCAACCUGGAUCCAUUUGCAUCGCUACGAAUGCGGUGUUAAAUGAGAUGGCAAAUCAUAAAUGAACGGUCCAGAUUCAACGAAGCGAGUGAGACUGGGGAUCUUACCGUUGGUUAGUUUCUUCUUCUUUUUUUAAGUUGUGUCGAGGGAGCACCUGAAGAUGAGGACAUGGGGAUUUGAGGGUGGGGUGUUAAAUAAAACUUUAAAAAAAAGUGAGUAGUGAAAAGUGUGGAUUUGUUUCACGUUUUAAGGGAUAAAAAAAAGGUAGUUGCUAAUUCUUGCUUUUAGCGCACUUGUAACGCGCAGUUACGACUCGUGAGUAGGUGGAUUCCCUACAGCAUGGGUUGUACUUGUAGUUGCUACUCACUUUGGGCCACGUGGCUUGCUGUCAUUGGUCGAGAAAUGUACAGAAAAAAAAAUCUACAGAGGAGCGAGUUCACUAGUCACGUGAGGUGACUACUAAAAUAUUCCCACUCAUCAAUAGAUAUAUUAAAACGUGAAUUCUCAAAGAAAUUACGUGCCGCGUACUUUGUUUCUUAUGAUCUGUUCACCUACCUCACCUCUUUUCCUUUCCAAAUCACUUUAAAUUUGUCAAGUGCUACGGUAUCAUGCAUAAUAUACACUCAUUAUAGGGUGUAUUAUAGUAUUAUUCUUCAAAAUAAUUAUUUUUAUAUGAAUUUUCUAAGCUUCUACUUGUAGUAAGAAUUUUGUGUUUGUGUUCACUUUCAGUGUUGAUGAAUUGCGAGAUCAACUUUGUACACAUAAAUUCUUACGUUACGUACGAAGAUUGUAGACAAAUUACGUUUUUAUAUAAAUAAGCCGCAGUGUUGUUUGGUAUAAUAUUAUUUAAACAGUAUUAUGGGAGAUACUUGAAUUUCUUAAAUAUUUAUCUCUUUUGGAUUAAAAAGGUAAAAGUUCGAAAUUAAUGUUUUUGCCUUUAGAAUUCAAACUCUCAUUUCAACUUUUUUAUUAUGGCGUGAUUCCCAAAAAAAAUUCGUUUAUCUACUGCAGUAUAAAUGCCUACUAUUUAUUAUGAAAUAUCCGAUCGUUCGUAGCACAAGUAGCUAUUGACUUGAUGAUUAGUAUUCGAGAUUAUAAGUUCGAAACUUAGUUAGUUCAUAUUUCUAACUAAAUUUAUUUAUAGAAAAAAUAAGUUAAGUGGAUACUAUGCUACCAUUCUCGUUUAAAAAAACAAAAAAAUCGAUAGUAGAAUUUCGGCCAAAUAAGCUAAUAGAAUAGAAUUAUAUCAUUGUGAGAUUUUUUUUUUUUGAGAGAGAGAUAUAGAUAGUAUGACACACUUUUCGUUUAUUUUAUUUAUAAAUAAAUUUAGCUGGAAAUGUGAAUCAACCGAGAUUGUAAUGAACUCGAUUGAGAGUUGGUCAAAGUGAGGAGAACUCAAGUUAGAAUUUUCUUUCAUAAGAAACGAAUGGUUUCAGAUGUUCUCAUUAGCCGGUAGACUCAGAUUUCUUAGGCGAUUUUAAAAAUAUUUUGGAGGGAAUUGCAAUUUGGAGGAACCCUUUCAUACUCACUUGUAGGCGUGGCGUAACCGUUAUUAUAAGGAAAAACUUCAAAUACCAUCCUGUGGUUUUGCAGUUUCUUAUUUUUGUACCAUGUGGUUUAAAGUAUAUCAAUUUAGUAUUCUAUGAUUUUAUUUAUUUUCUUUUUAUUAUCCUUUUUAUUAUUAUUUUUUUUUAAAUCAGUGACAAAGUUAAAACUAAAAGGUACUAACGUGAAUAUUCGAUAAACCUAGGUGGGGUAUCUGAAAUUUCUUGCAUAUAAUUUAACGAGAUGUUAACAAAUAAGCUGACGAAAAAAGACAAAUAAAACUACAGGGGACUAAAUUAAUACGCUUUAAACCACAGAAUAUUAAAGUGAGAAAAUACAAAACAACAAGGCUGAUAUUUGAAGUUUGCCCUUAUUCUAAUAAUUAUUUGUAGCCAAUAUAUGUUGUAAUGGUCCCUAGAGCAAGUCGCAAAAGGCUUGGUGGUUGGUAUCCGAGACCCAAGUUCGAAUCCUAGUUGAUUUACAUUUUUUGCUAAGUUUAUUUCUAAAUUUUUGCUAAGUUUAUUUCUAAAUGAAAUAAACGAAGCGGGUAGUGUACUACCUAUCUCUCAAACAAAAAAAAGUAUAAGAUCGAAAAAAAAAAGUCUAAUUGCUCAAACCUAGAUAUAUAUAUAUAUAUAUAUAGAGAGAGAGAGAGAGAGAGAGAGAGAGAGUAAGGCUACUAUACUAUUAUGAGUAUUGGGCCUUUCGUACACAUAAGUUAUUUUCGAUGAUGGAGCUUCCGAAUCGACGAUCCACUCCGUUAAAUAUGAUCUAGAGUAUUUGAAACUUCUAGAAAAUAAAUUUCGUAAUUUUUCGAAAUCAUAAUAAAGUCCAUCAAGUGGGCAUAAAAUGAACAGUCAAAAUCGAACGAUGUCUUAAAAAUGGAUGAUCAGAUCCUUCAAUUUAAAAUCAGAGUUAUUGAUCUUUAUCUAGGUAGUGAAUAGAAUUUUCUAUCAAAAAUUCAACCUAUUCGGAUUCUUUUGCACCAUUAAACUAGCAAGUAUUCCAUACCGGCCGUUAAAAAUUGUUAAUUUUGUAACCUUUUGAUCGUAAGUUAAAUGAUGUCGAAAAAUUAUGAAAUUUGAUUUCUAGAUGUUUCAAAUGCUCUAGAUAACGUUUAACGGUGUGGAUCGUCGAACCGGAAGUUCUAUCAUCGAAAACAACUUAUGAGUACAAGGACGAUCGUACUCAUAAUAGUAUAGUAGCCGGACUCUAUAUAUAUAGAGAGAGAGAGCAGGGCUGCUGUACUCUCAGGAGCACGGAGGCAGAGCAGGGCUGCUGUGCUCUCAGGAGCACGGAGGCCCUGAGCCGUUUACGAUGAUGGAGUUUCUGAAUCGACGAUCGGUUUCGUUAAACUUGAUCUAGCGUAUUUGAAGUUUCUAGAAAAUAAUUUUUACAAUUUUUCGAUAUCAUUUACCUAACAAUCGAAAGGAUUCAAAAUCAAUAAUUUUUAACAGCUGAAAAUAAAAAUUCUAUAAAAAGUGAUGAUAUAGCAUUAAAAUUUUUGAUUAGAAAUAUUGAUUUUGUUAUAGAUAGUAUAAAAAAUUUUGUAUCAAAAUUUCAUCUUAUUUGAAUACUUCUACACCGUUAAACUUGAAAACGGCAGAUAUCAACCAUUAAAAAUUAUGGAUUUUGAAUCCUUUCGAUCACUAGGUAAAUGAUAUAAAAAAAUCGCAAAAAUUAUUUUUUAGAAACUUCAAAUACGCUAGAUCAAGUCUAACAGAGCAGAUCGUCGAUUCGAAAAUUCCAUCAUCGAAAACGGCUCAGGAGCACAGAGGUCUCCGUGCUCCGGAGAGCACAGCAGCCCUGCUAUAUAUAUAUAUAUAGUGAGGCUACUAUACUAUCGGAAGCACGGAGCCUUCCGUGCUUCCAGCUCGUUUUCGAUGUUGCGACUUUCGAAUCGUCGAUCGGCUCCGUUAAACUUGAUCUAGAGUAUUUGGAGUACCUAGAAAAUAAAUUUUAUUAUUUUUCGAUAUCAUUUGCCUAGUAAUCGAAUAGGCUCAAAAUCAAUAAAUUUCAAUGGCCGUAGUGAGCAAUUUGCAAGUUUAACGGUGUAGAAAUAUCCAAAUCACGUGAAAUUUUGAUAGAAAAUUCUUUAUAUUAUAUAAAACAAGAUAAAUAUCUUUGAUUUAAAAUUUUAAUGUCAUAUUAUUACAUUUUGUAAGAUAUAUAUAUAUAUAUAUCUUGUCACUCUCAUAUCAAAUUUGAUGGCAAGUGCCCGUUUCUAAAUUCUAAACAGGGUUUUGUAAGGAGAAAAGUUCGGUCUAAUUUGGCACAGCGGCUGUGGCCGUUGUGGCGUUGCAUGCCCAUGAUCUAAGCCCGAUCGUGAAAACAUCUUAAUGGUACCUCGACAAUAGUAAAUUCAAUACAGAGAAUAAUAUUUGAUUAUCAUUCUGUGAUUAAUAGAAAAUAGAACAUGAUUCCAACUGUAACUUAUUCCAUACAAAAAAUAUCCAUUUCUGAUCGAACUAAACUAAGUUCUUCCGAACUGAAAUUAAUUCAACCCUAUUCAGAUUCGAAUCCAAAGUGAGUUUUGGUUGGCCUUACUUUUGCUUCUAUUUUAUAUAUUUUUUUAAUUAUGUUUUUUAUUUAUUUGGGCCUUAUUAUCUAGGCUAUAGUAUGCUUGCAUUCCAACUUUUAAAUACGUCCCGCUUUCAAAGGCCGCCUGUCACUAUCAUGGUAGGCCCUUAUCCUAUUGUGGUGGUGACGAUUAACAUUUUGAAGCGCGGUGACAACUGAUAUUAUAACUAAUUAUUAGUUGGAAAUAUGAGAUAAGUUUUAAUUGAACUAUGGUUAUACAGUAGACAGAACGCAGUUCUUAACUAACAAUUGUUAUCGGUGGAGUGCAACUCCCUACAAAAUCGGGUAAGACUAGUAAGACGAGUUUCACAUUAUCAGAGACUUGUGAAUACUUAAUUCGGCUAUACUAUGUUCGACAAUUGUUAGGCUAAAAAAGAUAAGAGAGUUAAACGUGCUAGAGCUAAAGUUUGGAUGAAAGAUUUAAUGUAAGUUAGGCCUUAAUUGAUCCAAGUGGGUCAAUGGGCCUCUUUCCUUUUAUCUUUCUUGUCCAUGUGAAGUAAGUGGGCCUUGGCACUUGUACAUGUAAGUUAGGGAUGACAAUUUCUCCUGGAAGUAGAUUUUCAUGUGGAGACCUGCUUUAAUCUUUUGCCACUGGAAACACAACUCAAGAACAGGAUAGCUAUUCAAAACCCCACUGAAUCACCAUAUACAUAGCAAUCAUAUAUAUCUAAAAUAAUAUUUUAUUAACUAAGGUUGGUGAUUAAUCUAUCUGUCUAUUAGAGUAAGUUAUUUACAAAUAAUUUACGUAAUACAGUGACUUUUUACAUAUCUUAUCAUACUUUUUAUUCUAACAGAUCAUUCCCCGAAUAAUCCUUGAAAGUUCAUAGGAACACAUAUUGAACAAGAUGUUUAUAUAUUUUUCACCGUAGAUUUAUUAGACCGUAGACACAUACCCUAUGUAAAAUUCUAUUUGCUUAGCUCAGAAACUUGAUUUUGAAACCAUUUGAAUACUCUCGGGAGCUCUAGCCAAUAGAAACUAAACCGCCACACGGACAAAAAUUUUAUGGUCACCGUGCCGAAACAAUUUGUUUGGGCACGGUGCCCGGAUGGGCGCCGCGUGUGCAGCGGCGCCCAUCUGCACCCUCCCCUCCCCCUCUCUUUCUCUCUCUUCCUAAANCGCCGCUACACACGCGGCGCCCAUCCGGGCACUGUGCCCAAACAAAUUGUUUCAGCAUGGUGCCCAUAAAAUUUUUAUCCGCGCCACGCGGCGAUCCCUGUAACGUAACAAUCAAAUCCCCUCAAAUUGCGCGCACUCGAAAGCCACGUGGACACAAGGACCCUAAAUUACACAAGGGGGAAAGAUUCCUAGGGUUCACGAGAGAAUGUGUGGGAACACACAAGGACAAAAUGGAGGAGGAGAGGUUGCUAUCCUGUGUGGAGCCGCACCUACAUUGUAUUUGAGCUCUCAUGUGUUUGGUUCAACUGUAGUGGUCACGAGCCCGAAUUGAAUAAGGUCCAUAUUAGUCCCAGUAGAGAUCAUGUGAACCCACAUGCAAAGGAUACGCCAAACCAUAGAUGUGCUAAUGGGUUAGAUUUGGGUCAGGUUUGAGAUUCAAACCCCGACACUUAAGUUGUUUGUCUUAUUCUAAGCCCCAUUAUUUGGAGAAGUUAAUAUGGUAUCUUUUCAUAUAUACUUAUGGUACUGUUUAACAAGAAUGACCCUUUUUUAUUCAAUCAUGUCAUAAAAAAUGUGGUCUUAUUUGUGACUCACGUGGUGGACCAAUUCUAAGAUAAUAGUUUCAAAAUUAAGUAAUUUUUCGGAUGAAUGGAUUGAAUCAACUCGAGAAAAAGGUAUAUUCGAAUAUGAAUUUGAUAAACUGUCCAAUUCUUUUAUUAUUAUUAUUAUUAUUAUUAUUAGUUUGGUCAAAAAUCUGAUAAUUUGAGGUCGAAUUUGGAUAUGACAUUACAAGGUGAUAUUUUAUAGCAUGAGUGGAAAUUUUCAUGCUUUUGAUCUUUACCUGUAUACUUGUAGGCAUCACAUGUUAUACAUUGCACUCAGCAACAAUCUCAACUAUAAAUGUGAAGGACAUGGACUACGUGACAAAAUAAUUGAUUUUCUCAGUACUAGUAAUCACAUAUUACAAUGUCUUAUAUAUAUCAUGUUAUUAAUGAAGGUGGUACUUUCCCUAUAACUUACAUGACAGGUAUAAGAUUCCAACCAUAAUUUUUUUGUAAAAAAGGAUGCAUUUAACCUAACAAAUCAUCUAAUUAGUUUAGAACCAACAAGCAAAUUGGUACACCAAAGUGAAUCUGAUUUAUUUUGGAAUCACUUUUGGUACUUAAAGGUCUUAUUUAUCAAAUAUAUAUUCUUUUAAAUAAACAUAAUUAUAGGGAUUAAAAGCAAAAGCGAAAAUGAGAAAGUAGAAGCUAGACCAAAAGGCCUUCUCCCUAAAGUGUAAAACAAUACAACCCACAAAUGAAACCUUGCUUUUGCUCAAUUUGCAUUCAUGGCUACUACAAAACAAACUAAAGAAGCAGUGCACCAGACACUUCACAUGGAUUUGGAACGGCUUCUACUUCAAUAUCUGCAGCAACGUGCCAAUGCAACAAGGCGCGCCCAGAAAACUACCCAACAAAUGUUCCCAGAAGCCCAACUUCGCGACAAUGUAAGAAGCACUUGUCGUAUACUCUCUGUGGUGUGGUGUACAAGCGUUCUUGUGAGAGAAAGGAACCAAAGUGUGGAUGGGUUUAUCAGGUUAUAUAUAUGGGCAUGUGCGCGCCCAAAUUUACCCCAAAGCACCAAAAGUGCUUCUUCUUCUUCUUCUUCUUCUUCUUAGAGAGGAAAUUUUUAGAAGCAUAUAUGGCAAUGGAGAGUAAAGUGGGCUUUGUAGUUGCAUGCAUUGUUAUCGUGUUUAUGCUUUUGUCUCAAGAAGGCCAGGUCUCUCUCUCUCUCUCUCUCUCUUAUGUUUUUAAAUUUGGAGGCUCACUUAUCAUGUAAAAUGAGAACACAAAAACAUUUAUACGUGCUGCAUUUUACAUGACUGUGUUUUCGAUAGUUUUCUCUACUUCGAGAUUUUCAUAAUCAAUUUUUUUUUUUUUUUAAGAGAUAGAUAGUACGCUACCCGUUUCGGUUUAUUUUAUUUAGAAAUAAACUUAGCUAGAAAUGUGAAUCAACUAGGAUUCGAACUUGAGUCUCGGAUACCAACUACCAAGCUCUUUGCUACUUGCUCUAGGGACAGUCGGUUCCAUAAUCAAUAAUUAGAACGAGUUUUCGAAUAUGAAAAGAAAAUUAGCUUUAAAAGCUCUAGUUUAAAGACUUCUACUUUUCAGAUAGAAUAUUAAAUGAAAAGACAGGUACAUUUUAGGACAUUCUUUUACUGUAGGUAGUAACACUUACAAAAACCAGAUGGGAGCCAAAUCAGCUGUUUAUAAUUUAAUUUAUACAAAUUUUCGGCCAACAUAGGUCCCUAUACCUUACAAUAUUCAUUUAUAUUGGGAAAAGAAAAAAUAUUCAAAAAGAGGUUUAUUAUAUAUUUAUAUUUUCUUUAAUUUGAUAUACAGGGAAUGCUUAUUGCAAAGCACUGUCCAAGCCCAACUAGUCAACCACCAGCAAUAUCUCCAAGCCCAACUCCGCAGCCUAUCAAAUUCCCCAUGGUAAGACUCCACCAUUCCCGCCAAUACUGUCUGUCACGACAUCUCGGCACUGUCUGCUAGCAGAGUUGAUAAGAUAUAUAUAUAUUUUCUAAGGGCAAUUGCUUAUAUAUUUUUGAAAAGUUUUUGACUUUUUGAUUUACCCCUUUUAGAAGACUAAUAUUGAAAAUACUGUUCCAACCUAUUUCUAAUAUACCCCUAGAGUUAAAAUCUGUUAAUUAACUUAACUCUGUAAAAUUACUAUUUUACCCUUUCAAAUAUACCCUUCCACUAUCACUGACUUUCUUAUUUGCCUUUAAAGUCAGGAGCGCAGAAAGUAUUUUGACUUUUAGUCUUUUCCAAUAUACCGCUCUACCGUUACCAACAUUUUUUAUUUGCUCUUAGUUAAGGGCAAAAUUGAUAUUUUAUUUUUUUUAAACUACGGUAGAUGUUUAACUCACGUUUAACUCAAGUUAACUUAACAGGAGAUAACCGCGGAGGUAUUUUGUAAUAACGGUGAAACAUAUGAAGGAUAUUUUAGAAAGAAAAUAAAACAGGAAUAAAUCGGAUAUUUUCAAACGUAUGAGAAGUAUAUAGACAAUUAUUCUUAUUUUUUAUUACUAUAAAUUUUCAAAAUAUGCAAGUUAUUCCCUCGACUAUCUCUACAUUAUAGUCAAAGAAAUUAGAGAAAAAGGAAAGAACAUAUAUCUAACUAAACUCCUAACAUUGUUUGAUUGCAGUAUGGAGUCACCCCAGGAAGCCUCCACCCACAAGGUCACAUAUAUUACUCCUUACUUAAAACUUUCCCUUCUCCCUAUCUUUCUCAAAUUUCUCUAACAAUUGUAUCUCCUCUCGCCUCGCAGAGUGCCCCGACCGCUGCGCGGGCCGAUGCUCCGCGACGGCCUACAAGAAGCCCUGCAUGUUCUUCUGCCAAAAGUGCUGCGAGAAAUGCCUCUGCGUGCCGCCCGGCACGUACGGCAACAAGCAGUUCUGCCCUUGCUACAAUGACUGGAAGACCAAAAGAGGAGGGCCAAAGUGUCCUUAAAAAAGAUCUCUCUUUGCUUCCUGCACAGCAUAAUAAUAUGUUUCUUACUAUAAAUGCAGCUGCAGAGCCAACAUGUUGUUGUGAUUCUGAUUUCAAAUUUGGAUGCUGAGAUUACUGCUCUGUAUGAUAUUAGAUCAGAUAAGUAAGCGAAUCAUCAUGUUCUUUUGGAUAAAAAUGAAUGGUACCAAUGCGUGCCACUGCAUUUUAUUUAUGUCUUGGAAUAUUAAAAAGUCUGAAGUCCAAACACGAGACAUACUCUAAAAAUUUCUUAAAUUACACUAUAUACGACUAAUCAUAUCUUGGAGUUUCAUUGGAGAUAAGAACUUUAUUCUGUAGCUAUUGUGCAAUUGAACUUUAAAUUUUGUUGGCGUAUUUCAUUUGCAUUUGCUAACAAUGUGCUGAUGUGAUAAUUAGUUUAGCUGCUAUAUUAUCUAUAAAAAAAUGAUACCAUGAUAAAAUGACAAUAAUUCAGUCAAAGUCUGUUAAAGGUAGGAUUCAUUAAUAGUUGAUGAAAAGAUUUUAUCCAGUUUAUCAGAGAUUUCAUCAAAUAUUAACAAUUUUAAUUACAUGUUACGUAAUAAAAUUAUCACAAUUAGUAAAAUUGAGGGGUGUAUUUCAAAAUACCUAACAUUUGAGGGGUCUCCAUACAUUUCUACCUUUUCCUUUUCUUAAUUUUCCGAUAAAUUGGAAAAUAUUUUGAGUAAAAAGUAAACUUUUCGAAAAAAAAUUCGAAGCACAAGCGAGCGACGAAAAUGGCGGGCUAACCCCAAUCAAGACGCCUCUCUCGUCUCCUCUUCCUCCUCCGCUUCUUCAAAACCCUAGAAUCUCGAUCGUUCCCCCCUUCACCAAUCGAUCCCCUCCAAAACCCUAAUUCCCUCCCCCUCUAUCCCUUCCUCACCCCUCGGAUGGAUCCCAACCCCCCCGUACGCUGCGUCGACAACGAGGAGGUCGCGCUUUAUCUGCGGAGGAAGCGCCAGGAGAUGGCGGAGAAUCCCAAUGGCUUGUCGGAGAACCUCGACAUGACUCUCUCCACCGCAUAUCGCAACAUCUGCAGCGCCAAAACCCCAAUCAAAACCCUCAAGGACUUGUCGCAGAUCAAGUAACAUCCAAAAUCAACGCUUUAAUCUUUCUUUUUCUUGGCUAAAAAUAAAAAAAAACAACCCUAUGAUUUCACACUCUUUCUCGGCAUAUAAUGCGGUUUAUAUCUAAACAUCUAUUUAAGUUGGAGUCUACAUAACAGAUGUGAAACGAAAGAAAAGAUAUCCUUUUUCUACUAGAAUCAACUCAAUUUGUAGUUUAUUUGACAAUUUAUUCAGUUUAUGAGAGUCCUUUCCAUCAAGUAUAACUAAUAGAGUUGUUCAAAGCCCCAAUCAAGAACCUAAAAGACCUAUCAGAGAUCAAGUGCGGCAAAAUCUCUCUCUAUUAACCCAAUCUGAGUUCCUUUUCUUUUCUUUAAAAUUAACCCUUUGGAUGGUUAUUGGUUGAAUUUUAUAUUGUGAUAGGGGCGUUGGCAAAUGGAUCUUGAGGCUCAUGAAAGGGUUCUUCCCAGAGAUUAGCUCUGAUGUAUCUCCUUCUAAAGAACCGGUUCAGCAAAAGGGUAGUUCUUGUCUGUCUAGCUUAUUUAGUUAUUGGAUGAAUCCAGUCGAGAAAGUUGUUUUUUUUUUUUUUUUUUGAGAAAAUGAUAUGUUGAUUAGGAAAGAAGACGAAAGGACCGAAAGUACCAAAAGGACCAAAGCGUUAUCUACCACAAAAGAACUCAGUAGCGUAUGCGUUAUUGAUCACCCUUUACAGGUGUAAAUUGUGUCUCAUGCCCUUAAUUGCUGUCUGUUUAUUGCUUGAAACUAAGCUUUUAUUCUUUGUCUUAUUCCUUUUUUUUAAAUCGUUUUCCCUUUAGAGCAAUGGCAAAUGGGAGUGGUUUUAUGAAGAAGCAGGAGCUUAUUGAUGCUGCUGAAGCUAGUGGGCUUUCACGUACUUCAAUUGCGUGAGUGGUUCUUUUAGUUUUUACUAGUUUGACAUUGCAAAUUAUUAUAUGGUUUACUUAGUGUAUUUUUCUAUCUUUUCUUGUGGUCGACAGGCUAGAUAAGAGUAAAGGAAAACCCGGGCAAUUUGGGAGUUCACCGAGGGAUUGGUACACUGGAUGGAGCUGCAUGAAGACAUUAAUAUUGAAAGGAUUAGUAGUCAAAUCUAGCUGCCCAGCAAAGUAACAUAUCGUAUUCUUUCUUUUUUUUUUUGUAUUUCUCAUCCGCUUCUUACUACAUUUUGUUAAUUUCUUUAGAUAAGUGGUGAUGUGUAUAAAAUAAUGUGCACUAAUAACUCUGUGAGGUAUAGCUCUUCAGGGAGGCAUAUGCGAUCUUCCUUGGUUUUUCUAUUAAAUUUUACAUGAUCUUGUUAUAUUACAAUUCUCUGAAGAACUUGGAGAUACGUUGUAAUGGCUUUUUGCAAGAACUGAACAUAAUGUACUGAUGAAUCUUUCAUGCUGUUGCUCAUAGCCAGUAUAAUUGAUGAGACAAUAAUUUUGUUGCAUAAGGCUCCAAAAAUUGAUGUCACUAUGAAUUAAUGGAAGAGCACCCAAGAGAUUCUUGAAAAGGCUUCAUACAGAAUAUAAUUUUGUCAAUAUCUACUGUUUAAAACUUAUAAACUUGAUAAGUGCAUGUACAAGCUUCCCAUUGUUGCGCAUUAUUCUAUAGCUUGAUACAAGUGAGUCGAGUGUAGUGUUUAGAUGGCUAACUAUUAAAACAGUUUGGACACCAGCUCUUUAUGCCAUAUUAGUAGUUUUUAGUUUGAUUACUCUGGUAAUCCAUGGUUUUUUUUUCUAAAUCUUAUGCAAGUGUUUGGCAGUCCGAAAAUGCUAGGCAAUGUGAUCCCAUUAAUAUCCCCAUGUUGUUGGAUGGAUAGAAAAGAAGUAUUAAAAAAAUCAUUCUGAUCAAACUUGCUACUGCUAUAUUUAAAUAGCAAAUUCCCACAGUCAUCUCCUUUUUAGGCAUGAACUACUUGGCGACAAAGCUUAUGUUAAUGCCCUCAGUUAUUUUUUGAAUAAAACCAGAUAUUAAACUUUCUUUCUGAUCUCUUUUUUAUUUCAUUUGUAUUUCAUCUUUACUGCUUUAAUAUCAGUAGAGUACCUAUUAUUGUCUCUUGCUUCAUUGCCUUUCAAUUGUCUUACUUUUUUGUUUUGUUUGGGGCCUCAAUAACGUGUAAUACCUGAUUCUGAGUAGGUAUAUGCUAACCCAAGAAGGGCAAGACGCUGCACGUGAUUGCCUCUCAAGAUCUGGGUUAGGCGAUCCUUCUGGAAACUUGACUCUAGAUGGUGGAUCUGAUGAUUCUCUAGAAAGGCGAGGUUCUGCUAAUUCAGAACCUGUAUCUUGUGCUUCAGCUCAUCAUGAGAUGAUGUUGGGGUCGGUGGAUUUAAGCUAUCAAGUGAAGCUAAGUGACAUCACAAAUGUUGUUGCAGAGAGGGUAUCCUGAACAUUCCAUAUUCUCUCAUUAGAAGUCGAACUUGAAAUAUGAUUAUAUUGGAUCUUUGAUACUUUACUGAUAUCUUGAUCUUUGUUUCUAUAUACAUAUGCGUAUCUGUCUGUUUAUCUCCCUAAGUUCCCGCACCCUUUAUUUAUAUAUCUCUGUGUAAUAAUAUGAAGUUUUGACUGCUAAGUUGUGAGUAGAAUAGUCUCAAACUCAUUUUAAUUUUAAUUUUGCUUCCUUGUAACUGUGUCUAUAAAUCUCUAUAUCCCUACAUCCAUGGAUUUAGGAUUGAUCUUGCAAGAGUUUAGGUUUUUAACAGUUUGCAUGUUGGUAUUAUCAGCGCAUCAAAUGUUUCCAAAAUUAGGUUCUUCAUUACUGUUUCUACAGGUAUUUCCUGUAGGAAAUUUUGUAUAUUAGCUUUGGAAAUCUUGUAGAAGUUCAAAUUAGAGACUGUGGAGUGUGGAUUGGCGACCUCCCUAACUGUUGGUAUUUCAAAAAAGAUUCCUCUAAUUAGAUUUCCACAGUUUACAUGUUGUUUUAUUAGUCAAUAUAAGAUGUUGAAUGUUUCCGAAGGCUUAUAGCUGCAGCAGUUCUCACCACUUGUAUCUCUAUUUUGCAGAACCUUCAAAUUGGACAGGCUGGCCCAUCUUACUCUGACUCUGCAGAAUUCAGUGGAAAGAAUCGUUCUUCAUUGUUGAUUGCACGAUCCUCUGUAGAUAUUGGUAUGUAUUUCAUGCAAUAUGUUGUUCCCAAAGAAAUACAGAAAUACAAGUCGAUCUAAAGAUCUUAGGCCCUGACUGAGGUUCCCUUUGGCAGACGUGCUCUUUGAGUAGAGCUAAAGGGAAAGGCACGAAUAUUUUUGUCAUCAAAUUUUACCAGAAGAGCUUCCGCUUCAGUAGAAGCAGAGGCUUGAAAAUGGAACUACUGCUUCUGGGGUGUAGAAGCCCAUUCUUGCUAAGCUAAAAGCUCUAUACUUCUUGUUUGCCAAAUGCAUGGGUGUUGCUUUUUGUAACACAGAAGUUGUUCCAAAAGCUAGGCCUUGGCCAUAAGUUUGUGACGGGUCACUAUAUUUUUAGUUAAAAUUUGGCUGUUUAGGUUCAAGCAAGAGUUCUAAGUAUGAUCAUUUUGCUGUAGAUUGCUCAGUUCAGGUUUCUGCUGAUUCAGCUCGGUGCUCAUCUCAUCUGCGGGCUUGUAGUUCAUUUGUAUGUUUGCCUUUGUUGAGAUUUUGAUUUCUCUCUAAAUUAUGGACUAGAAUAUUGCAUACUUUGAUUUUAGAAAGCAUCAAAUAAUUGAGAAAAUUCUAAUUUGGAAUCAAACAUCUUUUGAAUAUACAGGGUUCUCCAGCAGACAGAACAUCUUGUAAGGACAUUACUGAUGGGGAUAUCAAUUUACUUGCUAUGCCUCCUUGUAGAGCUGGGGAGAAAUUUGAAAAAACCUAUGAUGUUAUUUUGAUAUUGGACGAUCGUGAAAACUUUGGGUCAGUAUAGCAAAUUGAAGAUGCUAGUAUAUCAUAGUGGAAGAACAUAUUGAUAUAUGCUCAUUCCCGUUUUUUCCAUUUCAUCAUGAAUUGGUGGAUAUGAGACCGCGAGUUCAGGCUUCUGCAUCAACUAUGAAAGGAGUUUUUCUUGUGAUGUACUUACAUGCAAGAAGUGUUUUUUUUAGAGAUUCUCGAUAGUGCUACAAGUUUGUUUUAAUUCCUAGAUAUCCGUUUAUCUAAUUCACUAUCAACGCUUUCAUUGUUGUGCCUGUUUGAAUGUCUAAUUAAUAGCAUGUAUGUCGUCUGGAAAAUCAUUUCUCCAAAAUAUUAUCAUCUUUAUGCACCAAUACUAUGCGUAUCCUUAUUUCUGCAAUGAAUUCUCAAAUGUAAGUAACUCAGCAUGCUCACUUUUUCCUUAUAUUUUCAGGUCUCGUUCAAGAAAAGUUGUAGAUAAUAUACGCUCCCAAUUUGGUAUUUUUGUAGAGGUUAGUAAUCUAUUUUAGAUUAAUGUAAGUGCUGUUUCUAAUACUUUUUUUUUGGCAAUUUGUUAUUGUUUUUGUCAUUAGGUUUUUUAACUUGGUACAUGCCUGGUGAGUGCUGAAUACAACUAAAAAGAGAAAUGAAGUACUACUAGUCUAGACACCAUUCACUUGAGUGCCUGGUUUUACCAGCUUUGCAGUUUAUGUUUGAAACACUGGGUGUAUAAGUUUUAUUAAUAUGUAUUCUCAUAUUAUAGUGCAUUUCCAACUGUUUUAUACUCUGUAUUGAGUGUUGUAUUACAUCACAAUGCGACAGGUUAGACGCUUGCCUGUUGGAGAUGGAAUUUGGAUUGUUCGACAUAGACAACUGAACAAGGAGUAUGUUCUUGACUUUAUUGUUGAAAGGAAAAAGGUUGAUGAUCUAUGCAGCUCGAUUAGGGAUAACCGAUAUAGAGAUCAGAAAUUGAGGUUACAGGUAUUGAUUCUUAGCAGUUGUUUCAAUAUCACAGUUUGUUUUCAGCUCCUGUUCAUAUUUGGAGGUUAAGGUUAUACUGUCAUCUAUAGUUAAACUUUUAUUUUCCUAUACACUUACUAUCAUUAGUUGCGUGGACGUUCAACUAGCUUUAGUGAUAAUAUAUGUGCUUCAAUUGUCUUUUACAUCUUUCUCCUUGUUCUGUCAAGCUUUGUGAGUUUAUGAUAUAAUUGCCAUUCUGUGUUCGUGUCUGCCUCGCUACUGUAAUUCUGUUAAAUGUUUACUCCGUAAUUUGCGUAGAGAUGUGGACUGAGCAAGCUGAUAUAUCUUGUUGAAGGUGACCCAAAUUCCCUGGAAGCUGCAGAAAGUAUUAAAACAGCGUAUGCACAUUUCACAGUUAUUUUUGUUGUCCGUUUUCAAAUUUUGAUCCUUUUGGAAGUCGUCUGUCCAUUAAAACAAUUAAAUUUUCCUUUUUUCUUUUUCAUGAAAUUGAUGUUUUGUUUGUAUUUCAAGACAACGUAAGAUUGAAAAUGUACUGUUUCUUAUUAAGAUUAUGCUUGUGUGUUCUCUCAGCUGCUUCACCACAGAGAUCUUAGAAGGAUUUGAUGUGCAGAGGACUAGUGGUUUUGCAGAUACUAUAAGGAAAUAUGGUUACCUUACGCAGUCAAUAACACAAUAUUACAGUACACACCUCUCUUAUGGGUCUCGAAGAUCAAGAGUUUGCCCCUCGUUUGAUGAGUUUGUUAAGAAGUGUCAUGAUCUUGAGAAGAUGACAGUUAGUGAUGUAUUUGCACUCCAACUCAUGCAGGUGACUCUCCCUACUAAACGAAGCAUUCUACCUAACACUCAGUCUACUCCGCCGACGAUCUUCUUUUGGGGAUUUGGCAAACACAUCCAUUUUUUUGCGAUUUUCCGAUACUGCUGCACUUUUUUGUUUUUCAAAUUUUGGACUGAAUUGCAUUCCUUCCGACCUCUCCUUGUGAUGAAAUUUGUUUGGAUAUUUCCAUCAGUGCAUCUUGUCCACUGAAAAGACAUCUCAUUCCAGAGUAGCAAAAAUUUAACCAGGGUUGCAAAAAUAAAAACUUUUGGAUUUAUUUGUAAAUACCCUUUUCUAUCUCUUACCCCACGACAAAAUUCUCUGAGUUCAUGUGACAAUAUAAAUGUUGGUUUCUGCAGGUCCCACAAGUUACAGAAGAGAUUGCACUUGCAGUUAUAGCCAUAUAUCCUACCCUUUUAUCACUUGCUCAGGCCUACUCCCAGUGUGUGAGUACUCUCUCUUUCACUAACUAUUCAAUGUCUUCCUAAACUAUGAACCUUUAGGUAGUGUUGGUUGGAGGAUUUUGCCGUAGGGAUAAGAUAAAUAUUUAUGAUGUGAACUCUAGUUUGAGCAGUUAUAUCCUAUUCUGUUUGCUCGAGAUGUUGAAGACUGCCUAGAAUAACUAGCUAUUUACCUUGCUAUCACGAUUCCACCCAAUCAUUUGGAAAUGUUGUACAUGGAAUAAUUCUUCUGCCAGAUUCUAGGUAGGAAUUCCGACUUGGGAAAAUUGCGGGAAUUCCAUUUCUGCGUAACUCUCAUUUUUAUCUUCCAACCAAACACUAGUUAAGAAGGCAUUUUUCAAUUGAUUGAAUUAGCAAUAAUUUCUCAUGCUUGCAUUAUUGAAGGAAGGAGAUGUUCGUGCCCAGGAGGAGAUGUUAAAGAACAAGAAUGCGAAAAUAAGUGGCGUUGCUAGUAGAAACAUUUUUAAGCUGGUAUGGGGAGCUUGAUAAUAUAUCCACUGUUUGAUGCGCGAAAGAUGUUUCAAUCUCCAGUAACAUUCAAAGUCAGCAGCUCGAUGACUUACAUAGUUAUUAGAAAGCUCUUCUUUUGCUAACUGAUACAGUUUAGGCUUUGUAUUACUGCAUGCCUUGCGCCGACGAAAGCAGAUUGAUUUUGGAUGGUUUAAUCAUCAAAAAAAAGAGGAAAAAGGAAGUGGCAAUGUGUAUCUUCUUUCCCUUUUCUCCCUUAAGAUCAUGGUGCUCCUCUUAAGUUAAUACUAUGUUUAUUGCUUCUCUUGUUGUAUUUGUACACUUGGACUAUCCACCCUGUUAAUGUUAAAUCCGAUGAGCUGCUGUUGUUACUAUUUUUAGCUUUGCUUUGGCAAAAUUUUUGUUGAUUAUUCAUUUUAACAAAUGUAAUUUUGUUUUUCCGAGCACAUUAUGAAAGAAAGCAUCUAUAAUAUAGUGAGAUACUUGAUAUAAAGCAGAGGUAACAUUUUUCACUUUCCAGCAUGAAGUGGAAUUAGUUUUCAAAUUUUAGUUUUUUUUUUUAGUAUUUUGAUUUAUAAAAUAUCAAGCGUACUGUUGUAGAUUUCGUAAAAAGAUGCUUGUCUCUGUAUGAUGCUCAUGAUGUAUACUUUUGAUUGAUUUAUUUACACAGUUUAAAUACUUAAAUAAAAAUAGUAAGUGUCUCUUCAAACAGGCCAAUUAAGCACGCACCACCUACCCAUCGGUACAAAACGUCGAACGUUGUUUUCCUGAAACUUUUGUUUUCUUUUUCUAAAAAAAUCUAAAUCCCUGAUGAGAAAACAAAAAAGACAAAAGGGGUGAAAACAAGUGAUCCACAGCUCCUUCCAACAGUCCAAACGAGAACAACAAACUUACUAAAAAAAAGAACAAAAAAAAAAAACUUCAAAUAUACUCAUAUGAUUUCGCAUUUUCUUACUUUAGUACCCUAUGAUUUAGAGUGUAUCAAAUUAGUAUUUUAUGAUUUUAUUUUAUUUUUUUCGUUAGCUCCUCUGUUAAUAUUUUGUUAAAUUAUAUACAGAAAAAUUUCAGAUACCCUACUUAGAUUUAUCGAAUAUUCACUUUAGUACUAUUUAGUUUUAACUUUGUCACUGAUUCGACGAAAGAAAAUUAGUGAAAUGGAUAAUAAAAAGAAAAAAAUAAAAUUUUAUGGUACUAAAUUGGUAUAUUUUAAACUACAGAAUAUUAAAUCAUUUCUCUUUUUUUUUUUCUUUUUAUUUUUUUAGAGAAAACUUUAAAUAUCACUUUUGUGGUUUCACACUUUCUCACUUUAAUAUCCUCCGCAUCUGUUCGCUCAACAACACUCGUGCGGUGUUCUAAACCCUAAACCUUCCCCAAUUUGGCGGGAAAUUUGCAAAAAAAAAAAAAAAAAAAAAAAAAAAAAAAAAAAACCCCAACAAAAAAAAAAAAAAAAAAAAAAAAAAAAAAAAAAAAACCCUCCCCCAAUCA